rnacentral:lncRNA from 1 species
GCUCGAGGAAAUCAAGAAUGCUCGCGAGACUAGCUCCUUGGUAAUCAAAAGUGAGGUGCUCGGACGAGACAAGGAGACGGGCCUGAUAGUCGAAUGGCUGAUCAACCCGGGAGAUGCUGAUGUUGAUGUCUCCGCUUUUACAAUUGUUGGUAUGGGUGGGCUUGGGAAGACUACCCUUGCUCAACUAAUCUAUCAAGACGAAAGGGUGCGAGAGUACUUCGACCCCAUUAUGUGGGUUUGCAUUUCUCAGGAUUUCGAUGUAACUGUGAUAACAAGAAAGAUUGUAGAAUGUGUAAGUAGUGGGAGUUUUGGCGACAAGAGUCUACAUGCGCUCCAUGAGAAUCUUAAACACAAACUAACGUCGAAGAGGUUUUUACUCAUACUGGAUGAUGUUUGGAACGAUGAUAAAAUGACGGAGUGGGAGAAAUUGGUUGCUCCUUUGAAAUUCGAACAGAGAGGAAGCAAGAUCCUGUUGACAACUCGAAUGGGUUCAGUUGCGGAUAUGGCGGCAAAAGUGCUGAAAUGCAAGCGAGAGUCAUUAAAUCUAAAUGAGUUGGAGGAGAACGACUAUAUGUUGCUUUUCAAUAAGCAUGCAUUCCUCGGUGUGAACCCUGAUGACUAUAAAAACUUGCAACCGAUUGGUGAACGUAUAGCGAAGAAACUUGGAGGAUGCCCACUGGCAAUAAAGGUCAUGGGAGGAUUGCUGAACUCCUGCAUGGACUAUAAAUAUUGGAAGAAAAUCUUGGAAGAAGACAUCAUGAAAUUACAACAUGGAAAUGACAGCAUUAUGACAAUUUUGAGAUUAAGCUACGAUCACUUACCCACAAACUUACAACUCUGCUUUAGAUAUUGUAGUUUAUUUCCACAGGAUCAUAUGUUUAAGAGGAAAAAGUUGGUCAAUAUGUGGAUUGGUUCAGAUCUGAUUCCGCAAUCUAUUUGUGGCAGGCAAAGGCCAGAGGAUAUCGGAAAUGAGUAUUUAAAUCUUCUGGCAAAAAAAUCAUUCUUUACUUGCAAAACCAGUGCUAAUGGGUUGAAAAUUACUAAAGAGUAUUUUAUGCACGAUCUGCUGCAUGACCUAGCACAAUCAGUUUCUCUAGGAGAAUGCAUCAGAGUAGGAGGUGACGUUGCAAGAAUUACUAUUCCACGGACAGUUCGACAUUUAUCUGUUGAAAUGGUCAAUUUUCUUUCCAUCAGAGAGAUCUCCAAUCUUAAGAACGUGCGCACUCUUGUCAUUUCUGUGAGAGAGGACAAUACCCAUAAUGCAGAUCAUGCACUUGAAUUUAUUGAGGUUAUAAAAGGGUUUAAAAAGUUACGCUUAUUGAUCUUAGAUGUGAUGUUUGACCCUUAUAAACUGCCCGAUGCACUUAGUAGCUUGAUACACCUCCGCUACCUAUCUCUUUCACUAUGGAAAGUUAUGAAUGAAAGUAUUGAAUAUGAUGGCUUGACCAACUUGGUCAAUUUGCGUUCAUUAGAUGUUUUCGAUGAUGUGAUACAAAAAAUUCCUUAUAUUAGCAAAUUACCCUUCAUCCACGAAUUACAAAAUUUUGUUGUCCGAGAGGAGAGUGGUUACAAAAUUGGUGAACUAGAGAACCUCAGGGACCUUCGUCACCUGUGUAUUAGGGAACUUGAAAAUGUGAGGACUUCUCAAGAAGCCAUUGAGGCCAAGUUGAAUCAGAAAAAAUAUCUCAAAUCAUUGUCAUUGCAAUGGUCCGCAGGCCGCUUCAAUAGUGCAGAGGCAGAUGAACAGCUCCUCGAUAACCUCUGCCCUCAUAUCAAUCUCAAGAAAAUGUGCAUCGAACAAUACCAAGGUGCUAAAUCUCCAAGUUGGAUGACAAAUCUGUCUCUUGUCAAUUUGACAUCCAUCAAACUGAUUGAUUGUAAAGGAUGGAAGCACCUUCCACCUCUUGGGCAGUUUACUUCGCUGCAAUCUCUACACUUGAGGGGACUGCAUGCAAUAAAGCAAAUAGAUUGUUCAUUCAUCAGAAGCAGCAGUGCAUGUGACUUUCAAUCGUUGAAGUUCUUACAGUUACGAGACAUGCCUAACUUGGACGAGUGGAUUGGAGUAGAUGAUGGGUGCAUGUUUCCUCAACUUCUUUCUAUGAAUAUUAUUGACUGCCCUAAUUUGAGGGAAAUUCCUACUCUGCCGUAUAGUCUAAGUCGAUUGCAAAUUUCAAAUGUCGGAUUGACUGCUCUUCCAACAAUAAAUCAGAAUUACACGGAAAACAAUGUAAGUGCUUUAUUUUAUAAACUUCAAAUUUCUCCUGAGGUUUAGCUCAUUUUCAUUUACCCCCCCUGUAGUUCAAAAUGUAUCACUUUGCCCCUUCCCCCCCUGUGUUUUUGCCUAUUUUUUACUUUUGUCUAUCUCAUGGUUUGAAAAGUUACACUUUGCCUCCUUUGGUUUAGCUCAUUUUUUGCUUUGCUCUCCUGUGAUUUUUUUAAAAAAUAUUUUUAAUUUGCCUUCUAUUUCAUAUAGAAUUUUUUUGAUGAAAUAAAAAUUAAGCCACUGGACGGCAAAGUAAAACUUUUUGAACCGCAAGGUGGCAAGGUGAAAAUGAGUUUAAUUAACCACACGGGGUGCAAUUUGAAGUUGAGCAAUGCUUCAAUACUUUGUUGUAAUCUUAGCCGUUUAUUUUUAAUCAAUGAAGGGUUAAGAUUUAUGCAUAAAAAAAGAUGACCUACUAUUGCACAAGAAGUACCGGUCACCAGGUAUGUGAUUUAGGGGUGUUUUUGGAAAAAAAAAAAAGAGCUAAUAUUAAAAAAUUAAAUAACUAAUAUUGGAAAGUUUUGCAUACUACCCUUAAAUCAUGGAGAGAAUAAAUUUUUAAUUAAAUUAUCCAUUUUUAAAGCCGAUUUUAAUAAUAAUUUAUGAUCGCAUUUGAGUCAUAAAUUUAGUAAUUUAUAAUUUAAAAUUAAUUUUCAAACAUCGAAACUUUAUGUUUAAAUAGUUAACAAAAUUUAUUUUUUAAGUAUAAUAUAAAUUAAAUCUAAAUUUAUAAUUUAAAUUUGAUCAAUAUUUUUGAAAUUUAAUGCUGUAUUUCAAUAUUGAAUUAACAGUUUCAACUUACUUUAAAAUGUAGAAAUCUUUUAUUUACAUAAAUAAUAAAAGUUUAUAAAUACACUAUAACUUAAAUUACAAUUUUAAAGAUAGUAACAUUAAUUUUUGAACUUUCAUGUUAGUUUAAUAUUGAAUUGAUAAUUUGAAUUGAAAUGUUUACUCGUUUAAAUAUAAAUUUUUCUUUCUAAAAUUUAAAUUUAAUUUAUACAAUUAUAAAUACAAAGUUUAAACUCAAGUUAAAUUUUAAAUUCGAAUUUAUAAAGAUUUAUCACUUAUGAAAUUAACCAUUAUCUAAGUUGGUAAGUAACAAAAUUAAAUUAGGAAAUGAAGAUUUGUUGGAUAUUAUCAAAUUUGGUAAUUAGAUAAUGCAUACUUUCAAAUAUUAUCUUUAUGAUUGAUUGGUAACAUGUUGAGCAGGUUACCAUUGUGUAAAAGUCAAUCUUAACCGCAAAAAUUGAAUGAUCGGAUUUAAAUUGGCCGGUGUAUAGAAGUAUUUCUGUAUAUUAAAACACCAAUUAAUUCGUAUUUGCACGGCUAUGAUUGCCCGGACUUAAAUAUGUUUUACAUCUCUUUUCUUUCUUGCAGCGGCAAGAACAGGAUCUUGAAUAUGUUCCAACAUGUGGCGAUCUUGACGUGCCAUUGCUGUGGUCAGCAGAUUUAACCUCUCUUACUGAGUUGAAAUUAUUCGAUUGUGCAAGGAUAGCAUCCCUUCCCCCAGCACAAGUGUGUGCACGAUGGACGAUGCUUUCCCGUCUAAUGAUAAAGAACUGCGAAGGACUGUCAUCAUUUGGCGGAAUACAAGCUCUUGUAUCCCUCAGUUAUUUAGAAAUCAAAGGGUGUGACAAGCUAAUUGAAGUUGCCCUGCUGCUGCAGCCUCCGUUCCCAAACGAUGUCCGCCAAAACAAGAAUGCAGCAAUGGACUGCUUUUUGAAGAAUGGCGAACUAUCAAUUGACCACCCCGCCCUCCUGCUCGUGGAGCCAUUGAGAAGUCUCUCCUCCAUCAACGUGUUGACUAUCUCUGAUGCUUCACAACUCACCAGCUUACCUGAGGAAUGGCUACUGCAAAAUCACGUUGCCCUCAAAACUUUACGCAUAUCGAAUGCAAUCUCCCUCCAGUCCCUACCCCAGAGCAUGACAAAACUGUGCUCCCUAGAGCAUUUGUAUGUAUAUAUUGCUAAGCUCAUCCGGUCACUUCCAGAUCUGCCUACUUCACUGUGUACUCUACUCAUCUAUGGGUGUCACCCCGUGUUGAAGGAGCGAUGCCAAGAGAAUAUAGGCCUUGAUUGGCCCAAGAUUGCCAACAUCCCUGAUGUGUGGAUUGAACAGGCAGUUGCAGAGCAACGAUGAUGCAUAUUGUACGUUUACUUUACCACCCUUCAUCUCGCCCCUGCUAUAUACUCUCUGCGAUUUACGCAAUUCGUUUCGAUUUUAAUGAGCUACAACAUCUCGUUCCAUCUUAAUCAACAACUGUUAUCUCAUUUGUUUCAGGAUUGAUUAAUUACCUUCUUUUCCCGAAUAAUGCAACAGCAGUCAGGUUCGACUUUAAUUAGCAUCCUCCAUUAGGAAUUUUUUAUAUUUUUAAUUUUUACCCUUAUACUUUAUGGUUUGGAUACAUAAUAAUGGAAUUAAUAUAGCGCCAAUUAAUUGCGCCCUGUGAUUAAUACAUGAUGUUACGCUCGCUGGACGGAUUGGUCUUGUAAAACAAGCAAUGUAAUGAAUAAUAUAACACUAGUGAAGAGGCUCGCGCUUUGCAGCGGAUAAAAACCGUAGUAGUAAUUAAUAAUAAUAAAAUAUUAAAUAUUUUUUUGUGUAUCUCACUUGGUACAUCUACCGAAAGUCUCUCACUGUAGGCGAUAAAUAUCAACCUGACAAUGAAGAAAGAGAGUAAAAUAACUCAUUCUAAAUAAAAUUAAAUAGGGGAGAUGAAGAGACGUAUGUUGAGAGAGAGAGAAUAAAAUGGAAGAGAUGAGAAGACGUAUGUUGAGAGAGAGAGAGUAAAAUGGUUCAUUCUAAAUAAAAAUUGAAUAGGAUAUAUGAAGAAACGUAUUUUGAGAGAGAGAGAGUAAAAUGUCUUAUUCUAAAUAAAAGUUAAAUAGGAGAGAUGAAGAUAGUAUGUUGAAAGAGAGAAUAAAAUGGUUCAUUCAAAAUAAAAAAAAUUUCAAAAUUAAGAGAUUAUGACACAUCAGCUUAAAACAUUGGGGAUUCAUAAAGAGUAAUAGAUAUGUUAAUUGCUAGUAUAUCGAUUGCUUUCUAGAGUUAAAAACUAUGACUAAUUGUCCAGUGAUGAGUUAGAACAUAUAAAAGAGACGCACGCGCGCGCGACAAAAGCUUUCCGAGUUAUUUUAAUUUCUUGGUGCAGGACUGCAGUAACGUGAUAACACUAGUCCUAUAUGUAUUUCACUCAAUUUGUUCAAGAAUAUAAAACGAGACUAGUAAAGUUUAACUGCUUAUGUUCUAUUUCGGUAGUGCGGGAACAUGUAUUGAUUAGGACUCCAUAUAUAUUGCCGCUGAAUCUAGUUUUGCUUAUCUGGGAUAAAACAUGAUUACAAUCAUUCUACGUAUUCUCUCUUCUUUUUAGUUUUCUGGUGCAUGGGUGAAAAAGGCUUGCAUUGUAGUCUAUCGACUUCAUUGUAGGAGCACAACAUGGCUAAAGCCUUGCCGCUUUUGUUCUUCUAUUUAAUUAGUACUGGACUCAUAUAUGACUCCCAAUUCAUGGUCAUGUUCUAUCAAUUUAUUCAUAAGAUUAUGAGAAAAUUAAAGACUAAUUUGUUACUUUAUGCUUGUGUUCUUCAGUUUUAUUGGUGCAGGAUCAGAGUAAGAUUCCUUGCUUCUUUCGUGUGCGUGCGUGUAUAGUAGCCAAACUAAUGUAAAAUCUUUAAGAAAUAAAUUGCCCUCUUUUGCAGCAGGGAGGUUAAAUGCUUCAAUUUUGUUUCUCCUUACUUUAUAUUCGUAUAUACCAAAGGUAAUUUUGUGUUUGAAUAUUCCUGUACAAAUAGGAAAAAUCUUAUAGCCUGGUCAUAGGCUUGUUUUGUCUUGUGUAUUAUCCGGUGAAGCUGUUAAACAUUGCUUUAAAAUGUGUUUCAAAUUAUUACUGGUAUUUUAGCAGUACAGCAAGCACCCAGAUUAAACUCGUGAACUCAAUCGCAGCAGUAUAAAUCACGCUUUUAAAUUUUGUUUAACUUUUUCUUAGUGUUUAGUGCAGGCUCUCAUGGUAGAUUCUCUCUGGAGAGAAUUCCGUCGACUCGCCAUAAGAGUAAAAUGAGGGCUAUGCUGCAGCAGGCAUCAACAUGCAACCACAUCCUGCAAUAUCUUAAAUUUACUUUCUUUACAUUUUUUAAACGAGCUUUAGAUUCAUUUUGCAUCGAUUGCACAAAACAACUGAAGCAUUACUGCGUAUGUUCUAUGUUCGGUGGUGCGAGAACGAAUUAAAGACUCUUAUCGAUUUCUCUGUAUAUAGGAAUGUAACAAGACCAAAGUAGACUACUGCCUAUGUAUUUGUAUUUUCUUUUUGUUCUCGGUGGUGUAUGAAUUAAAAACGCUCCUCUUAUUAUAGCCUAUCGAUUUCGUCCUUGCUACAAAGGAUGGUUAAAGUUGUACUGCUUUGUUUGCAUUCUCCAAUUUUUCUUGGUGAAGGAUCGGAAUGAGACUACUACAGGUAGUCUAUUUAUAUAUGCAUAAUGUGAUUAGUGUCUUUAAUGUAGCUUAAUUUUACUUGUUAUUUCGUUUUACUGGUAUCACGAAUAUUUGGGUGUAAAUACGGAUAAUUACAUUAUAUAUUUUGGAGAAUAAGAUUUGGAGAUGUAUUCUUAAUGAGAGCAAUGCUUCAAUACACCAUAAGUAUAAAAAUUAAGCUCUUAAUUAGUAAAGGGUAUAGUUGGAAUUUACAUAAAGUAACCUAUUGAAUAGGUUACCGAUUUGAAUUAAGUUAAUAUGACAAUAUUGAAAAAAAAUUAGAAGUAUAUACUAAAUUUGUCAGUAUUUUUUAUUUAGUUUUGUUACUUACCAAAUUAGAUAAUGCCCAAUUUGUUAAGUAUCCAACUCAAAAAAAUAUUGAAUAUAAAUUUAAGUUUUGAAGUUGGUAUUGUAAUGUAAAAUUUUAAUUUCAAAAUUUAUAUUAAACUUUUAAAUUUUGAACCUAAUUGAACUUUUAAUCUUAAAGCCAAACUUUAAUUUUUGAUUUAAAUUAAAAUUUUGAAUUUGAACUGAAAGUUUUAUUUUAAAUUUGUGUUUUAUAUUUAAAAAUUGAAUUUGAUUUAUAAUUAAGUUUGUUAUGUUGCUUUGUAUUUAAAUUUAUAAUUUAGUUGUAAUUUGAAUUCCAACUAUUGUUGUAGGUAUUUGAGAAGGUUAUAGUAUUUUUUAGUUGGAUAAAACCGAUUUUAUAGACCAAAAUAUUCUUCUAUGACCAAAAUACCCUUUAAAUAGGUACCGGGUGAAAGGUACUUAUGCCUAAAUGGUAAGUCGCCUCUAGAAUUAUAUUACAUCUCGACCAUCUAUGUAAAAAAAUAAAUGGUCAAGAUUUAUAUAAAAUUUAGAUGGUGUAUUGAAGUAUUACUCAUUUUUAAUUAGCGAAGCGUGCGAAGGCCAGAGUAAUAAUCUGUGUGAUGGCAAGAUAGCAAAUCCCAUAGCUUGAUGAGCUUUUUUUUUUUAUUUUUUGUUUUUCUUUUCACUGUACUCUGAUGAAGUUGUUGAGCUUGUUUGAAGUAGACAAAGUAUCCCAGGGCUGAAGUUGUGAAUUUAAUUUCAGUGGCAUAAAUUAUACUUCAAAUUUUGUUAAACUUCUUAAGUUUUUAUUGAGGGCUGUACAUCGAUUUUGAGAGUAAAUUUGGUCGGUCCGGCCGACUCAUUGUAAAAGGGAAAAAAGGGCUGCUGUACUUCAGCAGGCAUCAACUUGCGAUCACAUCCUGCAGCUAUAUAUCUACUUUUAUUCUUUAUAGUUUUCAAAAAGAAAUUAAAUUUCUUUAUGCAUUGAAGACGAAAAAACAAAGCUCAUAGGCGGGGAUGUAAGAAGGUAAAUUUGUCAUCUACUUAAAAGACACUAAAUAAUUCGCCACUUUAUUAAGGUGACUAAUAAAUCUUAAACUCUACCUACUAGAACCGGCGUUACUCCGGCGAGGUAUGAGGGUUAGAUUCCUAAAUAAUGUUUGUAGGGGUUAGUUCCCAAAUUUUUUUGCUUAAUUAAGAUGUGUAACGCAUGAUGAUUAUUAUUAUUAUUUUUUAUUUUUUUAUUUUUUCAUGAGCAAUGCUAGCUCUACAAUCCUUUAUGGCUUGUAGUUGUAACCUUACAAUUUCCACCGUUUUAUGUCUACUUUUUUCAAGCUUGUCUUUUCCCUUUUUUUUUUUAAAGAAAAGAACCGAAAAAGGUGAAGUAAAACCCUUGCUUUUUGGAUUGGAAAUGGUAAAGAUUCAAACCUUAAAAAUGUUGCAGACUUAGCAUUUCUUUUUUUUUUUAUUUGAUUUAUACCCUCCAACUUACAAAUCGUUUAAUUUAGGUCCUUGCAUUAGGCAAUUUUAAACGGUUAGAAUCAAAAGCCCACGAGGAAUGCACGUGAUCAAAAAUUGCUCUAGUCAAAAAGAAGAAAGCAGGGUUGCUCUAUUUUUGCUUAAUUUUCAAAUUUGUUACGAAUCGUAUGACUGCUACAACCUUACUACCCCUUCAUUUUUAUCAAGAAUUUUUUUUUUUUUUUUUUUUUUUUAGAGAUAGGUAGCACGCUACCCGCUUUGUUUAUUUCAUUUAGAAAUAAACUCAACUGGAAAUGCGAAUCAACUAGGAUUCGAACUUGGGUCUCGGGUAUCAACCAUCAAACCCUUUGCCACUUGCCCUAGGAAUGUUACCCACUUUAUUUUUAUCAAGAAUUGCUUUGGUUCUAUUUGCAUGUACAUCCCUCUUGCCUCUUAGUGUUUCACUCUAACAAAAUUCCCAACAUUACCAAUGGAAGAACGUAAAUCAAACAGUUUGUAAGUUGACGGAUUUAACUCAAAUUAAAAAAAUAUUAGGGAUUUAUUUCAAAAUAGGUUGACAUUCAGGGCGUGUCUAUCCAUUAUUCCAUUAUAACAUUUUUAUUUUUAUUAAUCAAGAUUACAUAAAAGUUAUCCACCGUCUCUGAAGCAAGUGGCAAAGCGCUUACUGGUUGGUACCCGAGAUCCCAAGUUUGAAUCAUAGUUGAUUCACAUUUCUAGUUGAGUUUAUUUUUAAAUGAAAUAGACGAAGCUAGUGGCGUGCUACCUAUUUCUCAAAAAAAAGAAAAAAAAGAUUUCUCAAAAGUUAUUAAAAAAAAAGCACUAAUCUAUACUUAUGUAUAAAUUCUCAUGUUUAAAUUCUAUGUGGAUGUAACUCUUUAAUUUGAGGGAGGUGGGGUUUUAAGCCAUUUCUUCUCUCAUCUAAAAAACUAUAGCUAAUCUAUUUUUUCAAAUGGCUUUUCGCUUUUCGGCGCAUUUACUCGUAUUUACUUUUUCUUUUUUUAGUAGCCCUUGAGCUACCAUUCAUGAAAGGUUAGAGCGAAAAGAUGUUGAAGUAAUUUAUUUCGUAUAUAAAAAUCAUUACCCACCUCCUCUCCACCUUCACCCAUUCCCAUUAAUUUACAUUAUUUUUUUAAUUAAUUAAUUUUAAUGGGUGGCACAAGUUAGAUUCCAUUUUUCUUCCUUACCAAAUUUUUCUUUAUUUGUUUAAUGGUUAAAAUUGAGGAAUAUGCUUUUUUUUUUUCUUUUAUGUACAAUUUUUUUUGUUAGUUUUAUAUUAUAUAUAUAAAAGAUGUGUAAUACUUUUACUUAAAUUUGUAAUAUAUAGUUCUGUGAAGGAGGUGCCUCCCUCUCCUCUAAUGCUCCCAAGGACAAAAAGUAUCGGUUAAGAUAUGGAGUUGCUAGGAAAGAGUUGAAGGCGCUGUGUUACCUCACGAAAUAGUUGGCCUCGGUAGAGGAUGCUCUAGACAAGGGUGCAAAGGGGUCCGAUUUCUAUGCAACUGUUAUAUUUAGUUUAGAUUUAUAGUUAUCUAAAUUGGAGUUAAACCCUAAUCUAAUUGGGAUUGAAUAUAAUUUGGCAUAUAUGGAUUAUGAGUCUGAAUCUAAUUUCAAAUUGAAUUAGAUUAGACUUGUGUUUAGAAAUCCAAUUAGAUUAGAGUUCCAAUUAAGUUUUGGUCUUUUGAGAGAUUCAAUCUUGUACUCCGUCUUUCAACAUUAAUAAAGUAUUUGCUCUGUUUUCAUCCGUGGAUGUAGGCCAUUUGCCGAACCACGUAAAUAUUGGUAUGCUCUUUUCUCUUAUCUUUUCGUUUCCUGCAUUAAAUUAUUUUCUGCAUCUAUUUUUCGCUUUUUCGAUUUUAACAGUAACAAUUUUUUUUAUCUUAUAGUUCUAUUUGUCUUUCGUUGUUUUUAUUGAAUUAUAAUUCCAUUAUGAAAGCUUUAAUAUGUUUUUUACUUAUUAAUUCCAAUCAAAUAUGAUUAUAACCUUUUUUUUAUAUUCUAUAUUUGCUUAUUUAAUCUAUAAAUUUUUAAUAAAAAAAUUUUAUCUGCCAUUUCGCGCGGUUCCUACACUAGUUAAACAACCACACAAGCGAAAAGGGAAAAGGGUAUAGUUGGUGACUUUUAAUUUUUUUUUUAGGCCACUUUUUUUAUUAUGACUUUCAUUGAUUUGGAUGAGUUGGAAGGCGUGUAUGUAACGUAAACUGAUCAAAUUUGGGGCAAGUUUUUUUAAAAAAAUCUAAAUCCAAUCCUAAUUACCAAACUCAAAUUUAAAAUUGGAAUUUGAAUCUGACGAAUUUUUAAAAUUUAUAUCCAAGCCCAAAUCUUUCCAAAAAUUCAAAAUCCGAAACGGAAAAGUCCAACUCGAAACAAUUAUUUCUUUUUGCCAUAUUUUCAAACAUAUUAUAUUGAAUCUAAAGUAAAAUAUAAAUUCAAAUAUAAACACCAAAUAUUUAUAUUUAUUAUAUUAUGUAAAAUCAAUUCUAGUUCGUGUCAUAUUUUGGAUUCAAAACGAGUACAGACAAAAUCCAUACCUGAAUCCAAAUCAGACGAGUUUUCGGCUUUUAUAUCUGUAUCCGAAAUGAUAUCCAUUUAGUAUUAAAUAAAUCCGCUCCAUUUGAAUUUGUUUUCGAUAAAAUUUUGAAUAUUUGUUUUAGAUUUGUCUUGAAGUGUGGGAAAUUUUGGUUAGAAUUUGUUUAGGAGUGUGGAAAAAUUUCCAGCACUUUGAUGACUUGAAAGCCUUCUCUAUGAAACUUCCAUUUCAUUUCCUCCCCUUAUCAAGAAGCACACAUGAAAUUGGCCAAAAGAUAUCUAAUAUGUUUUUGGUCGACCAAAAUGGCUUCAUUGAUUUUAUAAAAUUUCUUCAAUAUAUCCAUAACUAUAGCAUUUACUAAUGAGAUUUGAGGUUUAGAAGAACAUUUUGAGAAUAAAGGAAUGUAUAAAUUUAAAAAAAUUGAAUAGUAGUAGGAGAUAUAUAAGCAAAAGCCCCUAAAAUUUAUAUAGCAAAUAAAUCAAUCAUUCUGAGUCAGGAUGAAUGAAAAGAAAAAAAAUAGUGAAUAAUUUAUUACAUUCGGAGAACGGUAAAUGAUUUAUUAUUUCUUUAAAGACUAGAAGUUUUAUGUAUUAAAAAUUGAGCAACAUUAAUUACUUACUUUCAGUAUAGACUAUUUAAGAUGAUGUAUAGGGUUUAUGGUUUAAGAUUUAGGCUAAAGGCCGUGAACAAUUCAUCAUCUCGUACGGAAAUUUAAAGUUUGUUUUCAUGCAAGAAAACAUUUAGAAUUGUCUAUAACACACCGGCAAAGUACCAGUUAAUUUGUUCCAACUGUGAGAAAGUGCAACCAAAGCUCUAGAUUAAAGUGUUACGCGCCUCAUAGUUCGAGCCAAAAAUUGCGACGAACUGAAGUUCAAGGACUUGUCACGCAUCUCACACAUCGAGCCAAAAAUUGUGCUGAAUUAAAAUUUGAGAACUAAAGUGUACAGUUUGAGCACGAAAGUGUAAUUUACACUUAAGGCAGCGUUUGGUUAGGCGAUAAGGAUAGGAAUAGGCCCUUAUCCCCCCUUUAUAUCCAAACGCUAAUUUUUUAUCCGAGAAUAGUAGUUCUCGGUUAUCCCCACCAACACCUUCAUUUUCUAUAUAAAACUAUCUAAAAUUAUUCUUAUCUCCAGGAACAACCCAAUUUUCAUCCAAACACUAUUUUUCUUAUCCCCAUACUUGUACCUAUUCCUGUAAUAGCUAGUUCUUGCUUAUACCUGAACCACCUUACGUUUUAUCCACUAGUAGGGGGCCAAUAAUUGCAGCCUCAGUUUAGCGGUGGCGUGGGGUCAAGAAACACGACCUUGGAGGCUUGGAUGAUUUAAUUAUUCGAUUUCAGGACUGGGGCGUGGACUCUCUAAAGAAGUCGGCAGAACCUCCGGUCAUGCGAAAUCACAUGCAAGUUUUCCCCAACCUAUACGCUCCUUUUUCUUGUCUGCAUGCAGUUAAUUUGCAUAAAGAGAGAUACCAUACCUGCUGUGUAUAUAUAUUACCUAAUAAGUGAGUGAUUAUUUUAAGCAUUUCUCUUUCCUCGUUCUCUAUCUUUUGCACUCCAAGUGUUUGAUGAAUUGCCUGAGAAGUGGUGAAGUAGCUGUGGUUUAAGCUUAUUAUAUGGAGGAUUAUGGCUUUACCUUUCAUAGCCGAAUCGGCGGCGUCGGCAAUCAUUGAGAAUCUCGUUAGCACUUGCUCAUCCUACCUCGAGGCGUGCCCGGCGGCCGGCGGCAUGCAGGACGAGCUUGAACGGCUGCAGCACGCCCUUCCGCAGGUCCAAGCAGUCUUGACUGCGGUCGAGGAGGGUGCGAUGGUCAUGGCGCAGAACAAGGCGCUGGAUACGUGGCUCUGGCAGCUCAGAGAUGCCGUGGAGUGCGCGGAGGACGUGCUCGACGAGCUGGAGUACUACGAGCUAGAGAAAACAGUACAAGAUCGAGAUAACGAGGUGCCUGGCAUUCUCUCUAAAUGUAGGAGAAAGUUUGACAGUUUCGUUAAUCGUAUCUUUAGCGAUGACACACUGAAGAGGUUGAGGGAGGCCGUCAAGGGGUUGGAUCGGGUCGUUGCCGGUAUGGGGCCACUCCUUCAACUUGUUACUGGGUUAUAUGGCCCUGGCGUUAAGCGUCGAAAGAUCGAGGAAGUCCGGAAUGCUCGCGAGACUAGCUCCUUGUUAACCGAAAGUGAGGUGCUCGGACGAGACGAGGAGAGGGACUUGAUAGUCGAAUGGUUGAUCAAACCGAGAGAUACCGAUGUCUCUGCUUUUACCAUUGUUGGUAUGGGUGGGUUCGGGAAGACUACCCUUGCUCAACUAGUUUAUAGCGACGAAAGAGUGCGAGAGUACUUCGACCCGAUUAUGUGGGUUUGCGUUUCUCAAGACUUUGAUGCAGCUGUGAUAACAAGAAAGAUGUUAGAAGGUGCAAGUAGUGAGAGUUUUGGCGACAAGAGUCUAAAUGCGCUCCAUUAUAUCCUUAAACAGAAAAUUUUGUCGAAGCGCUUUUUGCUCAUGCUAGAUGAUGUUUGGAAUGAUGAUAAUACGAUAGAGUGGGAGAAAUUAGUUGCUCCUUUGAAAUUUGGACAAAGAGGAAGCAAGAUCCUUUUGACAACUCGAAUGGGUUCAGUUGCAGAUAUGGUGGCAAAAGUGAUGCAAUGUAAAAAGGAAUCUUUAAAUCUAAAUGGGUUGAAGGAGAGCGAUUGUAUGUCGCUUUUCAAUAAGCACGCUUUUCUUGGUGUGAACCCUGAUGAUUAUAAAAACUUGCGACCGAUUGGCGAGCAGAUAGUGAAGAAGCUUGGCGGAUGCCCAUUGGCAAUAAAAGUUACGGGAGGGCUCCUGAACUCCUGCAUGGAUUAUGACUAUUGGAAAAGAAUCUUGAAAAAAGACAUUGUAGAAUUACAACAUAGAAAAGACGACAUCAUGACAAUUUUGAGAUUAAGCUAUGAUCACUUACCCACAAAUUUACAACUCUGCUUUAGAUAUUGUAGUAUAUUUCCGCAGGAUUUUAUGUUUAAGAGGAAAGAGUUGGUCUAUAUGUGGACGGGUUCAGGUCUGAUUCCGCAGUCUAUUUGUGGGACACGGAGGCCAGAAGAUAUAGGAAAGGAAUAUUUAGAUCUUCUGACAAGAAAAUCAUUCUUUACAUGCAAAGCCAGUGAGCGUGGAUUUGAAAUUCCUAAAUUUUAUGUUAUGCAUGAUCUGUUGCACGAACUAGCACAAUCUGUUUCUCUAGGGGAAUGCAUCAGAAUAGAAGGUGAUGUUGUAGGAAAAACUAUUCCACGAACAGUUCGACAUUUAUCUGUUGACAAGGUCAAUAUUCUUUCCAUAAGAGAGAUAUCCAAUCUUAAGAAAUUGCGCACUCUUGUCAUAUCUAUUAAGAAGAAUCAUGAUCAUAGUGCAGAUCAUGCACUUGUAUUUAACGAGGUUAUAAAAGGGUUUAAAAGCUUACGCUUAUUCAGCUUAUAUGUGAAUUUUGACUUUCAUAGACUGCUCGAUGCACUUUACUGGUUGAUACACCUCCGCUACUUAUCUCUUACCCUAUCGCUUCCGCUAGAGGCAGUUAUGAAUAAAAGUUUCAUGAAUUUGUUUCCUCAAUCUCUUUUUAGGCUUUAUCACCUAGUAGUCAUGAAGUUCUCGACCCCUGUUUUAAUGACUUCUAGGAAUAUUGAAUAUGACGGCUUGACUAACUUGGUCAAUUUGCGUUUGUUAGAUCUUCCUCGUGGUAUGAUAAAAAAUAUUCGUUAUGUUAGCAAACUAUCCUUCAUCCGCAAAUUGGAAUAUUUUUUUGUCCAAGAGGAGAGUGGUUACAAAAUCAGUGAACUAAAGAACCUAAGAGACCUUCGUCGUUUGAAUAUUAGAGAACUUGAAAAUGUGAGCACUUCUGAAGAAGCUACGGAGGCCAAGUUGAACGAGAAAGAAUAUCUCAAAUCAUUGUUAUUGGGAUGGUCCAGUGACCGCUGCCAUAGUGCAGAGGCCGAUGAGCAGCUGCUUGAUAACCUCUGUCCACAUAUCAAUGUCAGGAAAUUGUGUAUUGAAGAAUACAAAGGCAUUAAAUCUCCAUGUUGGAUGACAGAUUUGUAUCUCAUCAAUUUGACAUGCAUCCAACUGGUCAACUGUAAAGAAUGGGAGCACCUCCCACCUCUUGGGGGUUUGCCUUCGCUCAAUAUUAUUCGGUUGAAGGGAUUGGUCGCUGUAAAGCAAAUAGGUUGUUCAUUCUAUGGGUGCGGUGGUGUAUGUGCCUUUCCAUCGUUGAAGCAACUAUUCUUACUUGACAUGCCUAACUUGGAGGAGUGGAUUGGAAUAGCUGAUGGAUGCAUGUUUCCUCAGCUUCAUACUAUGGUAAUCCGUGACUGCCCUAAUUUGAGGGGAAUGCCUACUUUGCCUCGUAGCCUUAGACUGUUGCUUAUUUCUCAUGUUGGAUUGACUGCUCUUCCAGCAAUAAAUCAGGAUUGCAAAAAUGACAGUUUAAGUUCUCUUUUUUAUAUUGAACCACCAAUUCAUAUUUCCAUUUGCUAUGGUUGCCCAUAGUUAACAUUUUUACAUUUUUUAUUCUGCAGCAGCAAGAACAUGUUAUGGCUCUUGAAAGCUUAAUCAUCGAACAAUGUGAGAAGCUCAAUUAUUUUCCAACAGAAUUUUUUGGGAAUUUGAGCCUUGUAAAAUUCUUGAGUAUAGAAAAGUGCCCGAAGUUGACAAAAUGUGGGAUCACAGACAUCCAACCGCCUUCUGCACUCGAUAGACUCAUUAUUGGGUCAUGCGGCAACCUUGAGGUGGCAUUGCUCUGGUCAGCGAAUUUAACCUUUCUUACUUGUUUGGAUUUACUCGAUUGUGCAAGUAUAGCAUCCCUUCCCCCAGCACAAGUGUGUGUGCGAUGGACCAUGCUCUCCCAUUUAGCAAUAAAAAACUGCAAAGAACUAUCAUCAUUUGGUGGAAUACAAGCUCUCAUAUCCCUUCGUUCUUUAGAAAUUGAAGGGUGUGAUAAGCUAAUUGAAGUUUCCCUGCUGCAGCCUCCAUUUCCAAACAAUGUCAGCCAAAAGAAUCCAGUGGACUGCUUUCUGAAGCUUGGUAGACUAUCAAUUGACCAUCAUGCGCUCUUGCUCAUGGAGCCAAUAAGAAGUCUCACCUUCAUUAGCAGUUUGACCCUCUCUGGUGCUUCGCAACUCACCUCCUUACCUGAGGAAUGGAUACUGCAAAAUCACACUGCCCUCAAAUUUUUAAGCAUAAGGAAUGCAGUCUCCCUUCAGUCCCUAACCCAGAGCAUGACAAAACUGUGUUCUCUCGAGAAUUUGGGUGUAUAUAAUGCUAGUCUCAUCCGGUCACUUCCAGAUCUGCCUACUUCGCUGUGUACUCUAUGCAUCACCGGGUGUCACCCUGUGUUGAAGGAGCGAUGCCAAGAGAAUAUAGGCCUUGAUUGGCCCAAGAUUGCCAACAUCCGUUAUGUGAGGAUUGAAUAGCACUUGCAGAGGUGAUGAAGCAUAUUGUAUGUACACUUUACCGCCCUUCAUCUCGCCCAUGCUACCCUCUGUAAUUAAUGCAAUUCACUCUGGUCUUAAUGACCUACUUCUCAUUCAAUCCUAACAAGUUUUAUCUCAUUUGUUGCAGGUUUACUUCCCUUUUUUCUGGAUACUGCUCCUUUUUGGAUAACGCAAGAGCUAGCAGUCAGGUUCAUAUUUAACUUAGCAGACUCAAAAGAAUUUUAUAUUUUUCACCCUUAAUUUACAGUUUGGAUACAUAAAUUAGAAGUAACGUGCUGCUCACAGGACUUGUGUGAUUGAAAAGAUAGGAUUAUAUCCGAUUAGCUAAUGCAUCUGUCGAGCACCUACCUUCCAUAUCUAAAUUAGAAGUUAAAUAAAUUUCUAGCUAGUGGCAAAGGGCUUGGUGGUUGGUACCCGAGACCCAAGUUCCAAUCCUAGUUGAUUCACAUUUCCAGCUAAGUUUAUUUCUAAAUGAAAUAAACGAAGCGGGUAGCGUGCUACCUAUCUCUCAAAAAAAAAAAAAAAAAAAAAAUUUCUGUCUCAAGACAUCUCUUGCUCUUCAUUUCACAUGCUAGGCCUGAACAUUGAAGCAAUGGAUUAGUCAUGUAAGACAAACAAUUUAUAAUGAUUAUUAUAAAUACUUUCUACAACUAAACAUGACUACUUGUCCAGUAAUUUUUUUCCAGGGGAAAUUAGAGAAGCGCGACAAAGCAUUCGAGUUGUUUUAAGGUAUUGAGUAUUAGGACAUCCUUCGUCUUACUGCAUGCAUGUGUUCUUCUAUUUUCUUGGUGCAGGUUUAGAGAAAGACUCCAUGUAGUAUUGCAUUUUCUUUCUUUUUAUUUUCUAUUGCCAGAUGAGUGAAAAAUGUGUAAGAAAGAAAUUAUCCUCUUUUGGAGCAAAUUAAGAGGUUAAGCUUAAAUGCUUCAAUUUUGUUUCCCCUCACUUUAUCUGCAUUUAUCCUAAAGAUAAUUUAACAUUGUUUGAUUCCUGCACAAGUAACAAACCUCAUCGCAUGGUGAGCUUGUUCUGUUUGUGUCUUAUCUGAUGAAGUUGUUAAGCUUCUUUGAAGUAGCUUAAACACCUAAUUUGGAAACUGUUUAUUUCAAGCUAUGUUUACUUAGCAGCAUAACAAGCACCCAGGUUAAACUUGUGAACUUAAUUUCUGUGGUAUAAAUUAUACUUUAAAUAUUGUUAAACUUAUUUUAAGCUUCUAGUGCAGGUUGCAUCGACAUUUGGAGUAAAUUUGGUAGGUGUGCUCUGUCGAAAAGGCUCGGUCAGACUCUUUGUGAAAGGAAAACGAGGCUACACUACAGAAGGCACGAACUUAACAACCAUAUUCAGCAGCUACCAGAUUUUAAUCUCUUUAUCAAUUUUUUUGAAAAAAUAAAAUUUAAUUUUCUAAUGCCUUGAAGAUAGAAAAACACAUUCAGAAUUGAACCAUUUUGGCGGUUGUUGUUCAUGUUUCAGUUCAGUCUUCAAUCUAAGUUUGGUUUUGAUUCAGAUUUUUCGGACAUUAGUGCUUUUCAAGUGUUCAUUUUCUGUCUAUACUGAACACACUCUAUUGAAGAGCUCCUCAUUUUUUCUUUUUUUUUUAAAAAAAUUUACACCCUCUUAACUUUUCUAUUCAGCUAUUUCAGUUAAUUAAAGUGAAAACUUUGUUAAUUUUAAUGGUAUUAUUUUUUUCUAUAAUUUAAUGCUUCAAUAAAAUUAUUUUUAGUAGUUUUUUUGUGUAACCAAACACCACACAUUAUGUGCACUGAGAAACAAUUGCCUGUACCCAGUGUACACAUAUAUGUGCACCGCACCAGUAUAUGAUCCCAUAUGUUUGAUCUAAAAUAUCUAAAGAGCCUAUACUGGAAAAAUUGUGAUUUUUUGAAAAGGGUAAACUUCAAAUUGCCUCCCUGUGGUUUAACUUAUUUUUAUUUUAUCAUUCAAUGGUUUAAAAAAUUAUAUUUAAUUAUUUUAUGUUUUAGCGUAUUUUUUACUUUGUCAUUCUAUCAUUAUUUUCAAAAUCUUUUUACUUUACCGUCCUGUUGGACAUAAAAUUUUUUGUUGAAACAAAAAUUAAAUCACGUAGAUAUCGAUUGAGCAGUUUUGAGAUUUAGGCUUCGUUUGAAAUUACGGGGAGAUUGCGCUACGUGCGGUGAGAAAGUACGAUAAAAAAUAUCUUGUUUGUUUUCAUAUGUAAUAUUACGUUUCGCAUAUCGUAAUUAGUCGAUUAUGAUAUAUUUUCUAUGGUCCCAUCGGAGAACGCAGAAGUGUAUCCCUAUAUGCUUUUAUUCCAACUCCAUUUUAUCAAAUAGAACCUCAAUACCAAACUAAGCCUUAGUGGUAGAAAAAGAAUAAAAGUUUUUGAUUUAUAAAAAGUCAGUGUCAAAUUUAUUUAUUUAUUUAUUUAUAUACAUAGGACAUUUAAAUACAAAAGAUGCAGCCAAUAAUUAAUUCCCUUAAUAUGUAAUUACUUCUAUGUAAUUUUUCAAUUCGUAACUUUUUAAAAUCCAAGCCCAAUUCAAUUAAUAUGAUCUACAACAAUAAAGGGAUUAUAUAUAAAAAAUUACAUGAUUUAUAAAAAAUAUAUAUUUCUGUAACAUCAAGUAAAAUAAAAAAUCAGUGACUGCCUAUAACGCAUCGGUAAAAUACUAGAUUAAAUUUAAGCUAAUAUAAGAAAAAUUUUUGUAAAUAUUCGUCUUUUCUCUUUCUCUCUCUAACUUCUAAAAAUAUAUUCGUCUUUUCUCUUUCUCCUUCUAACUUUUAAAAAUUUAUAUAUUUUCUGCCUCGAAGUUUCAAGUUGAUGUACUUUGUCUCCGCCGUCAGAAUUCUGUCACUGUCCCAUCUUUUUCUUAUAAUUUAUGACGGGAUAUGUCCGUAAAAAUAUAUUAAAAAGCUAAAUUUUUUUCCGUAGAAUUGAGUAACGGUAGUUUUGUCAUUUCACCCACUUCAAUAACAUUGUAAUUCUCUUAAAAAUAUCUGAAAUUUUUAAAGGCAAAACAUAGAUUUUUCAUAAAUCAGAAAAAAAAAGAAAGAAAAGGUGAGUAUUUAUAUAAGAGUUUUAUGCAUUUUAGCCUUGGUUUUAAUCUUAAUAUCUCUAUCACAAAAUUUUAGAAAUGUGAUGUAUAUGAUGUACUUAUAUAUAUGUAGGCAAUAAUUUGCCUUGUGACUACUUUGUAAAGUUUGUAUGGCCAAAACCCAAUCUAGUAUAUGUCAUCUACCCCAAUAAACAUACAAUGUAUUAAAAUUUCUAAGGUUUAAAAUAUUUUUACUAUAGCAUUAAGUAGUCUCAAAACUUUGUAAGAACUUGCAAAACGUGGAUAAAGAACUACUUAGAUUUUAAUUCUUAAGACAAAAAAAAAAAGAGAAGUACAGAGACCCUCUGAACUUUAGUUUUGCAGUAAAUAAGACAUCGAAACUUUUAAUUUUGAUAAUUAAAUUUUGUAAAUUUUAUUAUAUUGUUAAUUUCUGAACUUUUGGUAGAGUUUUACUUUACUCUCUAAACUCAUAAAAUGAACAUCUAAUGCUCUAAACUCUAAAUAUUUCAUACAUAUUACUUUUUCCGUCAGUUUUCGGUUAACAUAGCUUGACGGUAAACUGAUGGAAAGAAUAACAUGAAUGAAACAUUUAGAGUUUAGAGUAUUAGAUGUUCAUUUUAUGAGUUUGGGGGGUAAAGUAAAACUCCACCAAAAAUUUAAAAAGUAACAGUGCUAUUUAUCCUAUAGAACUAGGCUGGAAUACUAUCAAUAGCACAAAGUUGUUGGUGCUAUUAGCUUUUUAGCCCUUAGAUUGAGAAAUGUGCGAUUAGCAUGAUGUGGACUCCCCAAGAUUAAGUGGGUGGUUGGUUGAAUAGCAUAAUCUAACGGGUAAAAAUAAUUAAAAAAAUUAAUCUAACGGCAGAAAACUUGAUAGCACUAAGUGCUUGGUGCUAUCGAUAGUAUAGUAGCCGGACUCUUAUCCUAUAUAUUUUAUUUUUUUUUGAUUAAACAGGGAUAUACCCUAUUUGAAAGAGUAGCUAGUAGGUAGGGACAAAGGCAAUUUAAUACACAGGUCAAAACCCUAAUCUGAACACUAAUAACAGAGGAGUAUUUGUUAAAGAACUCCCCUGACAAAAUACUCUUCCCUCAACCCAAAAUAAAAUAAAUCCCAAAACAGAAGAGAUCGUUGCAAAGAGAAAGGAAGCUAGCUUGUUAGAGCCGACUCCCAUAGCAUGGCGGCCUCGCAGAUUCUUAUUAAAAUAUAUAGGACUCUUAUCCUAUAUAUUUUAAUAUACACUAUUGUUUUGGUAGAGUUCUUUUUUUUUUUGAAAAAUAAAUAGCAUAUUAUUUAUUUCGUUUAUUUUAAUUAGAAAUAAAUUUAACUGAAAAUAUAAAUCAACUGCAAUGAUUCAAACUCGGGAUCUUAGAUAUCAACAACCAAACCCAUUACAAAAGAGUUAAUUAAAGUUCAGAGGCUCUUUGUACAUUUUCCCCUUGUACGAUCUAUAAACCUCUAUUAUUGGUUAUGCAGACCGUAAUUUCUCCCUCGGGAAGGGUGUGGAGUGGGGUGGGGCCGGAUAGAUUCCUCUGUCGGCAGUAAUUGAGUUUCGUUGGCUGUCACAGAAGGCAGACAAAUUUGACCAGUAAGUCUUCUCUACGAAACACUUCCAUUUCAUUUCCUCCCCUCUUCCCAGAAGCAUUCAAGAAAUUACUCCUCCCCAGUUUUUUAUUCUUUUGGUAUGUCCUAGCUAUAUGCUUGUUAAAAAUUAAUUUGAAACAAACUGUUUAUCUCAAGAAGCUUAACUUGCUUGCUACCGAAUUAAAGUGGGCAUAUUUUGAUUUAGUGUUUGAUUUCUCAAAAAAUAUUUUUGAAAAUAAUUUAUUUAUUUUUUUAUUUAGCUUGUUUAGUUUCUAAAUUUUAUCCUAAAAUUGUCUUCCCUAUUCAAAAAAUAAAAAUUAUAUUUUUUUUCCCCGAAAAACAUGGACUGGUUUUCAAAUUUUUAUUUUCAAAAAAAAGAAAAAAAAAAGAAAAUUGGGGAAUCAACACACCCACUUAAUUAGUGGGGGGCUUAAUUUUGUUGUCGAAUAAAGCAGUCAUGCUUUAUUUAUUUCUCCUCCUAAAUCUUUCUUCCUCUUCGUCCAACUGUUUCACUCCAGGAGUUUGAUCAAUUGCCCGAUCGAGUAGUGGUGAGGUAGUAGGAGCUCGAGCUAUUAGGAGGAUCGUAAUAAUGGCUUUACCUUUCAUUGCCGAAUCGGUGGCGUCGGCGAUCAUCGACAAUCUUGUUGGCACAUGCUUAUCCUACCUUGAGGUGUACCCGGCGACCAGCGGCAUGCAGUACGAGCUCGAACGGCUGCAGCAGGCACUUCCGCAGGUCCAGGCAGUUCUGACUGCAGUCGAGGAGGGUGCGCCGGUCAUGGCACAGAACAAGGCGCUGGAUACGUGGCUGUGGCAGCUCAGAGACGCCGUGGAGAAUGCGGAGGACGUGCUCGACGAGCUCGAGUACUACGAGUUACAGAAGAAGACUACACGAGAUCGAGAUGACAAGGUGCGUGGUAUUCUAUCUAACUGCAAGAGAAAGUUUGAUAGUUUCGUUAAUCGUAUCUUUAGCGAUGACACACUGAGGCGGUUGAGGGAGGCCGUCAAGGGGUUGGAUCGGGUCAUUGCCGGUAUGGGGCCACUCCUUCAUCUUGUUGCUGGGUUAUAUGGCUCUGGCGUUAAGCGUCAGAACCUCGAGGAAAUUAAGAAUGCUCGCGAGACUAGCUCCUUGCUAACCGAAAGUGAGGUGCUCGGACGAGACGAGGAGAGGGACCUGAUAGUUGAAUGGCUUAUCAAACCGGGAGAUGCCGAUGUCAAUGUCUCCGCUUUUACAAUUGUUGGUAUGGGCGGGCUCGGGAAGACCACUCUUGCUCAACUAGUCAAUUGCGACAAAAGGGUGCGAGAGUACUUCGACCCGAUUAUGUGGGUCUGCGUUUCUCUGGACUUUGAUGCAGCUGCGAUAACAAGAAAGAUGUUAGACAACUCUUGCUCAACUAGUCUAAAUGCACUCCAUGAGAUUGUUAAACAGAAACUUACAUCGAAGAGGUUUUUGCUUAUACUAGAUGAUGUUUGGAACGAUGAUAAAAUGACAGAGUGGGAGAAAUUGGUUACUCCUUUGAAAUUCGGACAGAGAGGAAGCAAGAUCCUGUUGACAACUCGAAUGGAUUCAGUUGCGAAUAUGGCGGCAAAAGUGAUGAAAUGCAAACGAGAAUCAUUAAAUCUAAAUAAGUUGGAGGAGAGCGACUAUAUGUUGCUUUUCAAUAAGCAUGCAUUCCUCGGUGUGAAUCCUGAUGAUUAUAAAAACUUGCAACUGAUUGGCGAACAUAUAGCGACGAAACUUGGAGGAUGCCCAUUGGCCAUAAAGGUCAUGGGAGGAAUGCUGAACUCCUGCAUGGACUAUGAAUAUUGGAAGAAAAUCCUGGAAAAAGACAACAUGAAAUUACAACAAGGAAACGACGGCAUCAUGACAGUUUUAAGAUUAAGCUACGAUCACUUAUCCACAAACUUACAACUCUGCUUUAGAUAUUGUAGUUUAUUUCCGCAGGAUCAUAUGUUUAAGAGGAAAAAGUUGGUCAAUAUGUGGAUUGGUUCGGGUCUGAUUCCACAAUCUAUUUGUGGAAGGCAAAGGCCAGAGGAUAUCGGAAAGGAGUAUUUAAAUCUUCUGACAAGAAAAUCAUUCUUUACUUGCGAAACUAGUGAUAAUGGGCGGAAAAUUACCAAACAGUAUUUUAUGCACGAUCUGCUGCAUGACCUAGCACAAUCUGUUUCUCUAGGGGAAUGCAUCAGAGUAGGAGGUGAUGUUGCAGGAAUUACUAUUCCACGGACAGUUCGACAUUUAUCUGUUAAAAUGGUCAAUCUUCUUUCCUUCAAAGAGAUCUCCAAUCUUAAGAACGUGCGCACUCUUGUCAUUUAUGUUAAAGAGGAUAAUAAGCAUAAUGCAGAUCAUGCACUUCAAUUUCUCGAGGUUAUAAAAAGGUUUAAAAAGUUACGCUUAUUGAUCUUAUAUGUGAAUUUUUACUCUCAUAAACUGCCCGAUGCACUUAGUAGCUUGAUACACCUCCGCUACCUAUCUUUUUCACAAGGGGAAGUUGUGAAUGAAAGUAUUGAAUAUGAUGGCUUGACCAAGUUGGUCAAUUUGCGUUCAUUAGUUGUUUCCAAUGAUGUGAUAAGAAAUAUUCCUUUUAUUAGCAAACUAUCCUUCAUCCACAAAUUAGAAAAUUUUAUUGUUCGAGAGAAGAGCGGUUACAAAAUCGGUGAACUAAAGAACCUCAGGGACCUUCGUCACCUGUGUAUUAGGAAACUUGAAAAGGUGAGGAGCUCUGAAGAAGCCAUUGAGGCCAAUUUAAACGAGAAAAAACAUCUCAAAUCACUAUCAUUGAAAUGGUCUAAAGACCGCUUCAAUAGUGCAGAGGUAGAUGAACAGCUCCUCGAUAAUCUUUGCCCGCAUAUCAAUCUCAAGAAAAUGCGCAUUGCACAAUACCAAGGUGCUAAAUCUCCAUAUUGGAUGACAAAUCUGUCUCUUGUCAAUUUGACAUUCAUCGAACUAUGUGAUUGUAAAGGAUGGGAGCACCUUCCAUCUCUUGGGCAGUUUUCUUCGCUCCAAUAUUUUUGGUUGAGGAGACUGCAUGCAGUAAAGCAAAUAGAUUGUUCAUUCAAUAGAAGCAGCAGUGGAUGUGCCUUUCCAUCAUUGAAGAAGUUAUUCUUCGAUGACAUGCCUAACUUAGUGGAGUGGAUUGGAGUAGAUGACCGGUGCAUGUUUCCUCAACUUCUUUUUAUGAGUAUUACUUGCUGCCCUAAUUUGAGGGAAAUUCCUACUCUACCUUAUGGUCUAGGAGACUUGUAUAUUUCUAAUGUUGGAUUGACCGCUCUUCCAACAAUAAAUCAGGAUUACGCAAACAACAAUGUAAGUGCUUUAUUUUAUAAACUUCAAAUUUCUCCCGAGGUUUAGCUCAUUUUCACUUGCCCCCCUGUAGUUCAAAACGCAUCACUUUGCCCCAUCCCACCCGUGGUUUAGCCUAUUUUUACUUUGUCAUCCCGUGGUUCAAAAAAUUACACUUUGCCUCCUUUGGUUUAGUUCAUUUUUCAUUUUACUAUCCUCUGAUUUUUUUAACAUUUUUAAUUUGCCACGCUAUUUUAUAUAGAAUUUUUUUGACGAAAUAAAAUUAAACCAUAGAAGUGCAAAGUGAAACUUUUGAACCAUAAGGUGGCAAGGUGAAAAUGAGUUAAAUCACACGGGGGGGCAAUUUGAAGUUUACACUUAUAUCAAAACACCAAUUCAAAUUUGCAUAACUGUGGUUGCCCGGACUUAAGUAUCUUUUACAUCUUUUCUUUCUUGCAGCUGCAAGAACAUUCUCAGGCUCUUGAAAAUUUAGCCAUUGGACAAUGUGAGAAGCUCGAAUAUGUUCCACCAGAGUUUUUUGGGAAAUUCAAAGCCAUAAAAUACUUGCACAUAAAAAAGUGUCCGAAGUUGACAAAACGUGGGAUCUCAGACAUCCAACUGCCCUCUGUACUCAAUGAACUCACUAUUGGGUCAUGUGGCGACCUUGAGGUGUCACUGCUGUGGUCAGCGAAUUUAACUUCUCUCACUGAGUUGGAAUUACUCAAUUGUGCAAGGAUAGCAUCCCUUCCCCCACCACAAGUGUGUGCACGGUGGACGAUGCUUUCCCGCUUAGAAAUAAAGAAUUGCAAAGAACUGUCAUCAUUAGGGGGAAUGCAAGCUCUCGUAUCUCUCCAUUCCUUAAAAAUUGAAGGGUGUGACAAGCUAAUUGGAGUUGCCCUGCUGCAGCCUCCGUUACCAAACGAUGUCGGCCAAAAGAAUGCAGAGGACUUCUUUUUGAAGCUUGGUAAACUAUCAAUUGACCACCACGCACUCCUGCUCUUGGAGCCAUUGAGAAGUCUCUCCUCCAUCAACAAUUUGACUAUCUCUGAUGCUUCGCAACUCCCCAGCUUACCUGAGGAAUGGCUACUGCAAAAUCACGCUGCCCUCAAAUUUUUAGAAAUACAGAAUGCAAGCUCCCUUCAGUCGCUACCCGAGAGCAUGACAAGACUGUGCUUCCUCGGGUGUUUGGUAGUGCAUAAUACUGAUCUCAUCCAGUCACUUCCAGACCUGCCUACUUCACUGCGUACUCUACAUAUCACCGGGUGUCACCCUGUGUUGAAGGAGCGGUGCCAAGAGAAUAUAGGCCUUGAUUGGCCCAAGAUUGCCAACAUCCCUAUCAGGAUGAUUGAAUAGCAUUUGCAGAGGUGAUGAUGAUGCAUGUUGUGUGCUUACUUUAUCACCUCCAUCUCGCCCAUGAUACCCUCUGCAAUUAAGUGCAAUUCAUUUCGGUCUUAAUGAACUACGUCUCAAUCGAUCUUAACUAACAAGGUUGUUUCAUUUGUUUCAGGAUUACUCACCUUUUUUUUUUAUUUCGGAUAAUGCAGCAGCAGUCAGGUUCGUUUUUAAUUAGCAUCCUCAAUUAGAAAUUUUUAUGUUUUUCACCCUUACUUUAUGGUUAGGAUACAUAAUAAAAGGGAAUAUAGUGCUAAUUGCGCCCUAUAAUUAAUACAUGAUGUUAUGCUCACAGGACGACAGGACGGAUUGGUCUUAUAAAACAAACAAUGUAAUGAGUACAACAUAUGUUGCUAGCAUAUCAAUUGCUUUCUAAAGUUAAAUAUGACUAAUUGAGCAGUAAUUUCUCUCUAGAGGUGCAAAUAAGACUGAAGUCUCGCUCAUGAGUUAGAACAUAAGAGAUCCAGGGUGACAAAAGCUUUUUAAGUUUGUUAAAUUUCUUGGUGCAGGGCUAUAUAUAGUAAUGGUAUGGCACUCCUGUAUAUAUUUCUCUCAAUUUUUUUCAAAAAUAUAAAGCAAGAGUACAGUUUUGCUGCUUACGUUCUAUUUUGGUAGUGCAGGAACAUGUAAGGAUUAGGACUCCCUAUUGGCGCUCAAAUCUAUUUUUCCCUUAUCAGGCUAAAAACAAGAUUAAAAUCAUACUAAACUACUUCACUCUGUUUUUUGUUUUUCAGUGCAUGAGUUGGAAACAAAAAAAAAAAAAAAAAAUGAAAACUCAUAUUGUAGGCUAAAGUCUUACUGCUUAUGUUCUUCUAUUUUAUUAGUACUGGACUCAUAUAUGACUACCAUAUAUUGUCUAUCAAUUUAUUCAUAAGAAUAUUGAAAAAAAAAAAAAGACUUAUGUAGUUAUGUCUUACUUCAUGCUUGCGUUCUUCAGUUUUGUUGGUGCAGGAUCAGAGUAAGAUUCCAUGCGUUUCUUUUGUGUGUGUGUGUGCGCGCGCGCGCGCGUGUGUGUGGCCAAACUAAAGUAAAAUCUUUAAGAAAGAAAUUGCCCUCUUUUGCGGCAGGAAGGUUAAAUGCUUCAAUUUUGUUUCUCCUCAAUUUAUAUACAGGUCAUAAGCUUCUUUUGUCAUGUGUAUUAUCCAGUGAAGUUGUUAAACAUUGCUUUAAAUGUGUUUCAAAUUAUUAUUAUUAUUAUUAUUUUUUGGGCAGUAUAAUAGGCACCGGAUUAAACUUGUGAACUCAAUUUCAGCAGUAUAAAUCAUAACUUCAAAUUUUGCUAAACAUUUUUCAGUUUUUAGUGCAGGUUGUAUCGAUAUUUGGUGUAAAUUUGGUGGAUGCUCCAGCGAUAAGACUCGGUCGACUCACCAUAAAAGGAAAAUGAGAGCUACGCUGCAGCAGGCAUCAAUUCGCAAACCACAUCCUGCAAUAUCUUACAUUUACUUUCUCUACAUUUUUUAAACGAACUUUAGAUUCAUUUCGCAUUGAUUGCACACAACAACUGAAGCGUUACUGCUUAUGUUUUGUGUUUGGUGGUGCGUGAAUGAAUUACAUACUAUCGAUUUCUGUAUAUAUAGGAAUGUAACAAGACCAAAGUAGACUACUGCCUAUGUAUUUGUAUUUUCUUUUUGUUCUCGGUGGUGUAUGAAUUAAAAACACUCCUCUUAUUAUAGCCUAUCGAUUUCGUCCUUGUUACAAACUGCCUUGUUUGCAUUCUUGUAACGACCCAGCCCACUAGCAAUAAUAACUCGUUGGGCCCAGCCAACAGCCCAAAAUGCUUAAGCUCAGUUAUUAUUACUAGUGUCUAAGUCUCUUAUAAACCCAUCCGAUGUGGGACUAUUGGGGUGUCACAAUUCUCCUAUUUUUCUUGAUGCAGGAUUGGAAUAAAACUUCUACAUGUACGUACGUAGUCUGUNUAUACAUUCCUUUCGAAAAAAAAAAAAGAAAAAAAGAAAAAAGAACUGUAUGUUCUAAUUUUCUUUUUUUCCCUAUGAUCUGAUGAUGUUGUUGAGCUAGCUUCUUUGAAGUGGACAAAGUAUCCCAGGUCUAUCAAAAUGUGUUUCAAAUUAUUUUCCCAUUCUUUACCAGCAUAACAAGUACCCAGAUUAAAGUUGUAAAUAUAAUUUCGAAUCUAAUUUAAGUUUGAAUUUAAAUUUAAAUUUAAUUUAAAAUCUAAAGUUUCUUUUUUUUUGAGAAAACAGGGAUAUACCCUAUUUGUGAUUGAAGUAAAGCUAGGGGGGGUUAAAAUCUAAAGUUUUAUUCAAAUUUUAUUUAAAAUUUAUGGAUUCAAAUUGAAAUUAUAUAUAACGACCUGACCCGCUAACAACAAUAACUCGUUGGGCCCAAAUCACCGAUCCAAAAUGCUUAAGCCCAGUUAUUAUUACUAGUAUGUAGGCCUUAUAUAAACUGAUCGGAAUCAGUAUCCCAUCCGAUGUGGGACUAUUGGGGUGUCACAAUUCUCCUAUUUUUCUUGAUGCAGGAUUGGAAUAAAACUUCUACAUGUACGUACGUAGUCUGUAUAUAUAAUGUGAUUAGUGCCUUUAAUGUAGCUUAUUUUUACUGGUUAUUUUGUUUUACUGCUUAAUUAAUCUUCCCUUGGAGACCGAACAAUUAAUUAGCAAGCUGAAGUAUAUUCUGAGUGUCACAAAUAUUUGAGUUUCAGUAAGGAUAAUUACGUUAUAUAUUUUGGAGAAUGAGAUUCGGAGAUGUAUGUUUAAUUAGCGAAGCGCACGAAGGUCAAAGAGUAAUAAUCUGUUACGUAUGGUCAAUGAAACUCCUAUUACAUUCAAUGAAACGUAUAGGCAAAGGGCUUGGUGGUUGAUAUUCGAUACCCAAGUUCGAAUCCUAGUUGAUUCACAUUUCCAGCUAAGUUUUUUUUUCUAAAUGAAAUAAACGAAGCGGGUAGCGUGCUAACUAUCUCUCUCAAAAAAAAAAAAAAAAAAAAAAAAAAAAAUCCCUAUACAUUCCUUUCGAAAAAAAAAAAAGAAAAAAAGAAAAAAGAACUGUAUGUUCUAAUUUUCUUUUUUUCCCUAUGAUCUGAUGAUGUUGUUGAGCUAGCUUCUUUGAAGUGGACAAAGUAUCCCAGGUCUAUCAAAAUGUGUUUCAAAUUAUUUUCCCAUUCUUUACCAGCAUAACAAGUACCCAGAUUAAAGUUGUAAAUAUAAUUUCGAAUCUAAUUUAAGUUUGAAUUUAAAUUUAAAUUUAAUUUAAAAUCUAAAGUUUCUUUUUUUUUGAGAAAACAGGGAUAUACCCUAUUUGUGAUUGAAGUAAAGCUAGGGGGGGUUAAAAUCUAAAGUUUUAUUCAAAUUUUAUUUAAAAUUUAUGGAUUCAAAUUGAAAUUAUAUAUAACGACCUGACCCGCUAACAACAAUAACUCGUUGGGCCCAAAUCACCGAUCCAAAAUGCUUAAGCCCAGUUAUUAUUACUAGUAUGUAGGCCUUAUAUAAACUGAUCGGAAUCAGUAUCCCAUCCGAUGUGGGACUAUUGGGGGUGUUAAAUUAUAAUUUUAAGUCUGAAUAUAAAUAAAUUGAAAUUUAAUUUUAUAUUUUAAAUUAUCCGUUCAAUUUCAAAUUUUAUUUUUUAAAAAAAAUAUAUUUAAAGUUUUGACAUUGUUUUAAAACUUUGAUGUAAAUUUUUAAUAUUUAAUUUUCCGUUUGAAUUUAAACUAAUAUAUUAUAAAGAUACAAUUAGCAUAUUAUUUUAUAUUUUUUAUAUCUAUCUGAACCAAAUACCGACAAUAGGAAUGAUUUAUUUCGAUUCCGAUUCGAGUGGCGAACCAAAAAAAAAGAGGUAAUGAAUCAUUUCGAUUCUGUUUCUGGCUUAUUCUCAUUUCAACUUCGAACUAAACACACCAGCGUGUUUGGUUCGCUUCUUUUUCACCCUGAAAUCAUAAUCGGAAUGGGUGAAUCCGUUUGUAGGUGUUUGGUAUGCGGAAGUCCCAUUCCAAUUCCGAUUACCGAGCGGAAUGGAAAUCCUUCAAUCAUCUCUUUUUCCAAUCCGGCCUAGGAGGCCAGAUUGAAAGUUGAAUCCGGACAAAAUGGUUAUUUCUUCGGGUUAAAUUUAAUUUUCAACUUUUUAAUUAAAAUAUGAGUUUAAUUUUAGAAAUUAAAUUUAUAAUUUUAAAUUUUAAUUCAAAUUUGAAUUAAAAAUUAAAAUUUAAUCAAGCAUUUUGAAUCUCACUUAUAAAUUUGAAUUUAAAUUAAAUUUUAAUUUAUAGAAAGUUUUAUUCAAAUUUUAUUUAAAACUUAAAUUAAAUUUAUGGAUUCAAAUUAAAAUUUAAAUUGUUAUUUUAAGUUUGAAUUUGAAUAAAUUGAAAUUAAGUUUUAUAUUUUGAAUUAUCCACUCAACUUCAAAGUUUAAUUUUUUUUAAAACAAUAGAUUUAAAAUUUUGACAUUAUUUAAAAAUUUUGAUGUAAAUUUUUAAUAUUUAAUUUUCAAUUUAAAUUUAAAUUAAUAUAUUAUAAAGAUAAUGUUAGUAUUUUAAUUUGAUUACAUUUUUUAUAUCUACCUGAACCAAAUACUGAUAAUGGGAAUAAUUUAUUCCGAUUCUGAUUCAGGUAACGAACCAAGCAGAAUUAGGAAAUGAUCAUCAUUCCGAUUCUGAUUCCAGCUUAUUUUGAUUCCGAUUCUGAUUUCCAUUCUGACUUUGAACCAAACGCACCCUUAGUAUUAAAUAAAUCCACCCUUCGCAUUCGUUUUCGGAUAAAAUUUUGAAUGGUUGUUUCAGAAUUUGUCUUCAAGUGUGGAAAAUUUUGUUUAGAAUUUAUUUAGGAGUGCGUAAAGUCUUCUCUAUGAAACUUUCAUUUCAUUUCCUCCCCUCAUCCGAGACUAUUUUGGUGGACCAAAAAUAUAUUAGAUAUUUUUUGGUUAAUUUCGUGUAUGCCUCUUGGGCAAAAUGGCUUCAUUGAUUUUAUAAAAUUUCUUCAAUAUAUCCAUAACUGUAGUGUUUACUAAUGAGAUUUGGGGUUUGGUAUAAUAUUUUGAGAAUAAAGGGGACUUAUAAAUUUAAAAAAUUUUGAAUAGUAGUAAGAGGUAUAUAAGCAAAAGCUUCUAAAAUUUAUAUAGCACAUAAGUCCAUCAUUCUGAAUUAGGAUGAACAAAAUGAAAACAAAAUAGUGAAUAAUUUAUUGCCUUAUGAGGACAGUAAAUGAUUUAUUAUCUCUUUAAAGACUAAAAGUUUUAUGUGUCAAACAUUGAGCGACAUUAAUCACUUUCAGUAUAGACUUUUUUUUUUUUUGAGAGAUAGGUAGCACGCUACCCGCUUCGUUGAUUUUAUUUAUAAAUAAACUUAGUUGGAAAUAUGAAUCAGCUAGGAUUCGAACUUGGGUCUCGGAUACCAACCAUCAAAUUCUUCGCCACUUGCUCUAGUGACGGUCAGUUCCAGUAUAGACUAUUUAAGAUGACAUAUAGGGUUUAUGGUUUUGGGUUUAAAGUAAAGACGAUAGACAAUUCAUCAUCAUCUAGAUGCAUCGUAUGAAAAUUUAGAGUUUGUUUUCAUGCAAGAAAAUAUUUAGAAUUGUCUACAACACACCGGUAAAGUACUAGUUAAUUCGUUCCAAAUUUUGACUCAACCUAUGUAUAAAAAAUUACAACUAAUUAAAGUUCGAGAAUAAAGUGUCACGCACCUCAUAAUCAAACUAAAAAUUACGACAAAUUAAAGUUCGAGAACCUGUCACGCAUGUCACAAUUUGAGCGAAAACUUACGAAAAUCCGAGAACUAAAGUGUAUAGUUUGAGCAUCAAAGUGUAAUUUAGCCUUAUGUUUUAUCCACUUGGUUUGGUGCCAAUAAUUGCACUCUCAAUACAGCGAUGCCGUGGGUUCAAGGAAACACGACCUUAAAUUUGGAUAUGACUAAUUAAUUAUGUGAGUUCAGGACUGGGGUCGUGGAUUCUCAAAGAAGUCGGCGGAACCUUCGCCUCAUUUAUUUCAUUUAGAAAUAAAUGUAGCUGAAAAUGUAAAUCAAUUAGAAUUCGAACUUGGGUCUCGAGUACCAACCACCAAGCCCUUUUGUGACUUGCGCUAGGGACGGUCGGUAAAGAGUUUGAUUUUUACUCUUUGGAGUUUGAUUUUUACUUCUUGAAAGGUCCUGAUAUCAAUGAUUUGAUAGUAUAAUAUAUUUCAUCUACAGGAUAUUUUAUUUGUUUAAAAAAAUAACUUGUAAGGUUAAAUGUAUGUAGUAUCUAAUUUUAGAUUUUCCCCUAUUUCUAAUUAAGAAGCAUACAAGAAAUUACCCUUCGUGUAUCUCUCGACAUCUCUCUUUCCUUAUUCUCCAUCUUUCGCACUCCAAGUGUUUGAUCAAUUUACCAAAAAAAAUAUCUAAUAUAUUUUUGGUUGACCGAAAUACCUAACCGAUUUUAUAAGACAUUUUCAAAUAUAUCCCUAACCAUAGAGUUUAUAUACUAAUGAGAUUUGGAAUUUAGAAGAAUAUUAUGGGAAUAAAGAAUAAAUUUAAAAAUUUUGGAUAAUAGUGAGAGAUAUAUAAGCAAAAGCCCCUAAAAUUUAUACAGAACAUAAAUCCAUCAUUCUGAAUCCGGACGAACAAUAGAAAAAAAAUUAAUUAAUUUAUUGCCUUCUGAAGACGGUAAGUGAUUUAUUAUCUCUUUAGAGAAUAAAAAUUGUGUGUCAAACAUGGAUCGAGCAACAUUAAUUACUUUCUGGGUAGACAACUAAGAUAACAUUUAGGGUCGUGAACGAUUUAUAAUUACCUAGAAGCGUCGCAUGAAAAUUUAGAAUUUGUUUUUACACAAGAAAACAUUUAGAAUUUGUUUUUAAUGAUACCAUAGAAAAACUGACCUUCCCUAGCGCGCGCAAGUGGUAAAAAGGCUUGGUGGUUGGUACCCGAGAGGCAAGUUCGAAUCCUAGUUGAUUCACAUUUCCAGCUAAAUUUAUUUUUAAAUAAAAUAAACGAAAUGCAUAGCAUGCUACCUUUCUUUCAAAAAAAAAAUAAAAAUAAAAAAUGAUACCAUAGAAAAAGGAUAGGGGAAGGAAAUACCCACCUUGAUGGAUGCUCAGCCGGCAACUAAUUAAUCUGAAAGCAACCCGCCAAAUUUUCAGUGCUGCCACAUGUAAAGUCUUCCAAACUAUGCACUCUUUUUCUUUGCUGGGAUUUGGCAUAAAAAUAAGCAUUAAUCUUUGAUAUCUACUGCAUAACAAACCCAAGUAAUUGUUUUUUUUUUUUUAUGGAAACCCAAGUAAUUGUUUGAACAUCUCUCUUCCCUCAUUCUCUAUCGAUCAAUUACCUGAAUGGUGUCAAAGUAGUGGAAGGUAGAGCUGUUUGGAGGAUUAUGGCUCCAACUUUCAUAGCCGAAUCAGUGACGUCGGCAAUCAUCGAGAACCUUGUCAACACUUGCUCGUCCUACCUCAAGGCAUGCCAGGCGGCUGGCGGCUUGCAUGACGAGCUUGAACGGCUCCAGUACGCCCUUCCGCAGGUCCAGGCAAUCUUGACUGCGGUCGAGGGGGGUGCGCCGGUCAUGGUACAAAACAAAGCACUGGAAACGUGGCUGUGGCAGCUCAGAGACGCCGUGGAGAACGCAGAGGACGCGCUCGACGAGCUGGACUACUACGAGCUGGAGAAGGCUAUACAAGAUCGAGAUGACAAGGUGCGUGGUGUUCUAUCUAACUGCAAGAGAAAGUUUGAUAGUUUCAUUAAUCGUAUCUUUAGCGAUGACACACUGAAGCGGUUGAGGGAGGCCGUCAAGGGGUUGGAUCGGGUCAUUGCCGGUAUGGGGCCACUCCUUCAACUUGGUACUGGAUUAUAUGGCCCUAGUGUUAAGCGUCGGAAGAUCAAUGAAGUCCAGAAUGCUCGCGAGACUAGCUCCUUGUUAACCGAAAGUGAGGUGCUCGGACGAGACGAGGAGAGGGACUUGAUAGUCGAAUGGUUGAUCAAACCGAGAGAUACAGAUGUCUCCGCUUUCUCAGUUGUUGGUAUGGGUGGGCUCGGGAAGACUACUCUUGCUCAACUAGUCUAUCGCGAUGAUAGAGUGCAAGAGUAUUUCGACCCGAUUAUGUGGGUUUGCGUUUCUCAAAACUUUGAUGCAGCAGUGAUAACAAAAAAGAUGUUAGAAGGUGCAAGUAGUGAUAGUCUUGGCGACAAUAGUCUAAAUGCACUCCAUUAUAUUCUUAAACAGAAACUUACAUCGAAGAGGUUUUUGCUCAUGCUAGAUGAUGUUUGGAAUGAUGAUACAAUGACGGAGUGGGAGAAAUUAGUUGCUCCUUUGAAAUUCGGACAGAGAGGAAGCAAGAUCCUGUUGACAACUCGGAUGCGUUCGGUUGCAGAUAUGGCGGCAAAAGUGAUGAAAUGCAAACAGGAAUCAUUAAAUCUAAAUAAGUUGGAGGAGAGCGACUAUAUGUUGCUUUUCAAUAAGCAUGCAUUCCUCGGUGUGAACCCUGAUGAUUAUAAAAACUUGCAACCAAUUGGCGAACAUAUAGCGAGGAAACUUGGAGGAUGCCCAUUGGCAAUAAAGGUCAUGGGAGGAAUGCUGAACUCCUGCAUGGACUAUGAAUAUUGGAAGAAAAUCUUGGAAGAAGAAGACAUCAUGAAAUUACAGCAAGGAAAGGACGGCAUCAUGACAAUUUUGAGAUUAAGCUACGACCACUUACCCACAAACUUACAACUCUGCUUUAGAUAUUGUAGUAUAUUUCCACAAGAUUAUAUCUUUAAGAGGAAAGAGUUGGUCUAUAUGUGGAUGGGUUCAGGUCUAAUUCCGCAGUCUAUUUGUGGAAGACGAAGGCGGGAGGACAUUGGAAGGGAGUAUUUAAAUCUUCUGACAAGAAAAUCAUUCUUUACUUGCAAAACCAGUGAUUAUAGGUUUAAAAUUUCUAAACAUUAUUUUAUGCACAAUCUGCUACAUGUCCUUGCACAAUCUGUUUCUCUAGGGGAAUGCAUCAGAAUAGGAGGUGAUGUUGCAGGAUAUAUUAUUCCAAAAACGGUUCGACAUUUAUUUUUUGAAAACAUAAAUCUUCUUUCUAUCAGAGAGAUCUCCAAUCUUAAGAACUUGCGUACUCUUGUCAUAUCUGUUAAAGAGAAUCAUGGGCAUAAUGCAAAUCAUUUACUUGUGUUUAAUGAGGUUGUGGAAGGAUUUAAAAAGUUAUACUUAUUGAGCUUAGAUGUGAAUUUUGACACUUAUAAACUGCCCUAUGCACUUAAUAGCUUGAUACACCUCCGCUACCUAUCUCUUUCGGAAAGAGUGGUAAUAGAUGAAAGUUUCAUGGGCUUCAUUCGUUCAUCUCUUUGUAGGCUUUAUCACCUACAAUUCCUGAAGUUCUUUACUCAUGGAACGACUACUGAUAUUAUUGAAUACCCCGGUUUGACUAGCUUGGUUAACUUGCAUUUAUUAGAUGUUCCUUCUGAUGUGAUAAAAAAUAUUCCUUAUGUUAGCAAAGUACCCUUCAUUUGCAAAUUAAAAGAUUUUUUUGUCCAAGAGAAGAGUGGUUACAAAAUCGGCGAACUAAAGAACCUGAGAGACCUUCGUCAUUUGUGCAUUAGAGAACUUGAAAAUGUGAGGAGUUCUGAAGAAGCUAGGGAGGCCAAGUUGAACAAGAAAGAAUAUCUCAAAUCAUUGUCAUUGCAAUGGUCUAGAGACUGCUCUAGUGGUGCAGAGGCCGAUGAGCAGCUCCUUGAUAACCUCUACCCGCAUAUCAAUCUAAAGAGAUUGUGUAUUAAAGAAUACAAAGGUGUUAAAUCGCCGUGUUGGAUGACAGAUACGUCUCUCAUGAACUUGACAUUUAUCGAACUGAUUAAUUGUAAAGGAUGGGAUCAUCUCCCGCCUCUUGGGCACCUAUCUUCCCUCAAUUGUCUUUACCUGUGUGGACUGCAUGCAGUAAAGCAAAUAGGUUGUUCAUUCUACGGGAGAAGCGGUGUAUGUGCCUUUCCAUCAUUAAAGCAGCUAUUCUUACUGGACAUGCCAAACUUGGAGGAGUGGAUUGGAAUAGAUGAUGAGUGCAUGUUUCCUCAACUCCAUUCUUUGGAAAUCCGUCAAUGCCCUAGCUUGAGGGGCGUGCCUGCUCUGCCUCUUGGUCUAAAUAAAUUGCAUAUUUCUGAUGUCGGAUUGACUGCUCUUCCAGUGAUAAAUCAAGAUUGCGGAAACAACAAUGUAAGUGCUCUGUUUUAUAAACUUUAAAUUACCUCACUGAAGUUAAGCUUGUUUUCACUUUGGCCUCCUGUAGUUCAAAAAGUUUCACUUUGCCCCCCCUGUGAUUUAGCUUAUUUUCACUUUGCUAUUCCAUUGUUCAAAAAGCUGCACUUUGCCCUCCUAUAAUUUAGCACAUUUCUCACUUUGCCAUCCUAUGGUUUUUUGAUCAUUUUUAAUUUGCUACACUAUUUCAUACAGAGUUUUUAGCGAAAUAAAAAUUUAACCACAUGAGUGCAAAGUGAAACUUUUAAAACCAUAGGAUGGCAAGGUGAAAAUUAAUGAGGUAAACUACACAAGGGUAAUUUGAAGUUUACCUUUAGAUUAAAACACUAGUUCAUAUUUGUCUAGCUGUGAUUGCCCAGACUUAAUAUCUUUCACAUAUUUUCAGCAAGAACAUUUUCAAGCUCUUGAAAGCUUAAUUAUAGAACAAUGUGAGAAGCUCGAAUAUGUUCCACCAGAGUUUUUUGGAAAGUUCAAAGCCAUAAAAUUCCUGCGUAUAGAAAAUUGUCCAAAGUUGACAAAAUGUGGGAUCUCAGACAUCCAACUGCCGUCCGUACUCAUUAUGCUCACUAUUGGGUCAUGCGGCAACCUUGAGGCGCCAUUGCUGUGGUCAGCAGAUUUAAGCUCUCUUACAUGGUUGGAAUUACUCGAUUGUGCAAGCAUAGCAUCCCUUCCCCCAGCACAAGUGUGUGCACAGUGGACAUUGCUUACACAUUUAAAAAUAAAGAACUGCAAAGAAUUGUCAUCAUUUGGUGGAUUACAAGCCCUUAUAUCCCUCUGGCAUUUAGAAAUUGAAGGGUGUGACAAGCUAACUGAAGUUGCCCUGCUGCAGCCUCCAUUUCCAAACAAUGUCGGCCAAAAGAAUGAAGUGGACUGCCUUUUGAAGCUUGGUUAUCUAUCAGUUGACCACCACGCGCUCCUGCUCAUGGAGCCACUGAGAAGUCUCUCCUCCAUUAGCUGGUUGAUUAUCUCUGAUGCUUCGCAGCUCAUCACCUUACCAGAGGAAUGGCUACUGCAAAAUCACGCUGCCCUCAAAUUUUUGAGCAUAACGAAUGCAGCCUCCCUUCAGUCCCUACCCCAGAGCAUGACAGAACUAUGCUGCCUAGCGAGUUUCGGUGUAACUAAUGCUAAUCUCAUCCAGUCACUUCCAGAUCUCCCUAAUUCACUACGCACUCUCUGCAUCACCGGGUGUCACCCUGUGUUGAAGGAGCGAUGCGAAGAGAAUAUAGGCCUUGAUUGGCCCAAGAUAGCCAACAUCCCUAAUGUGAGGAUUUAUUAGCAUUUGCAGAGGUAGAGGUGAUGAUGAUGCAUAUUGUACGUCCGCUUUACCACCCUUCAUCUCUCCCACGCUACCCUCUGUAAUUAACACAAUUCACUUUGGUCGUAAUGAGCUACAUCUCAUUCGAUCUUAACGAGGUUAUUUCAUUUGUUUCACUAUUAUUUUAGCUUGUUUUGGGUAAUGCAAGAACAGUCUGGUUCGUUUUUAAUUAGUAUCCUCAAAAGAAUUUGUACUCUUAACUUUAUGAUUUGGAUACAUAGUAAGGGAAUAAAGCGCUACUUGCCCCCUAUAAUAAAUACAUUGUGUUGUGCUCGCAGGACGGAUUGGUCUUUGUAAAACAAACAAUGAUUUGGAUACAAUUAAAGAGAGAGAGAGAGAGAGAGAGAGAGUAACCCUAAACAAGUCUCCAGAAUUAAGUUCUCUACUAAUAUUUUAUGAUUUUUUUUCUUCCUCCCUUUACUUUACCUGAAUUGACUUCGCCUCAUAGGAAAGCAAAAUUAAUUUCAGUAUUUUGGAAAAACUAUACUUUCGAUCUUACUAAUAUUAUGGUGAACCAAACAGCAGAAAUGAUUAAUUUUCAUCGAAAAUUACUUGCUCUCUUCCCAUUUAUGGUGAAACAAUCAGACCCUUACAGCAGUCAGUAUUAUAUAGGUUUGUUUGUAUCAAAGCUUCGAGACAGGUGUACUAACAAGAAAGAUGUUAGAUACGAUAACUAAGGAGAAUUUUGGCGACAAGAGUUUCAACGUAGUUAGUUAAUUUGGAUUCAGCAAACAUUCAGUACGAAUGCAAUACGAAUAAAAUUCAUAUAUUGAUUUUUAAAUUCGUUCAAAAAUAGGGCUUAAAAAAGGGUUCCGAUUUAAAUUAUUCAGGUUAAAAUGUCAGCUAUUAAAUUAAAAAAAUUUUUCCUAGAUUUAUGCUACCAGCGUAAAUAGCUAUAAUUCUUAAGAAUAUAAAAUAGAGAGGUACAAAAUAAAGUAGAUUAAAUAAAAAAAGCAAUAGAAAAGUUCAUUGUCAUCUUCAUCUCCAUCUUUUUUAUGAUCCACAUAUUCUGAAAGUUCAUGAAGUUUUUCAAUAAUACGCAAAUAAUUUGCAAAUAAUUUGCAAAUUAACUAACUAUGGUGAAGAUAGGGAUUUUAUCAAAAAAAUUUGCGUAUUUCUUUGGCCGAAUAGUUCAAUAGACGUGAAUUAUUUGCGAAUAAUAAAUCUAACCAAAAAAUUCAUAUUUUAUUCUGAUUUUUUGAAAAAAUAUUGUAUACGAAUCGAUUUAUUCGAAUUUUCAAUAAUUUGCAAAUAAUUCUCGAAUUAACUAACUAUAAGUUUGAACGCACUGCAUACGAUCCUGAAAGGGCAAACUAAUUGCUCUUAUAAAGUUUUGACGAAGUAGAAAAGUGAAAGAGAAGAGUCUUUACAUCUAACCGGUUUGGAAGAGCAAGCUUUUUUUUUUUUUUAAGAAAGGUAGCAUGUUAACUAUUUCGCUUAUUUUAUUUUUUAGAAAUAAAUUUAGCUGAAAAUGAGAAGCAAUUAGGCUUCGAUCCUGAACCUCGGGUAUCAAUCACCAAGUCUUUGGUCACUUGCGCGAGGGAUGGUCGGAUUUGGAAGAGCAUGACUAUAUAUAUAUACUAGCAACUAACCCGUGCAAUGCACGAAUUUUAAUUUUAUCUUUUAAUUACAUCUUUUAUAUAAUAUAUAAUAUUAAUUUUUACAUAUUAAGUUUUUUUAAUAUCUUUUUAUGACAACUUUUAUAUAAUAUAUAUUAAUUUUUUACAUAUUAAGCUUUUAUUAGAAAUAUUAUUGAAUCAAAUUAAAAUAAUACUAUCAUGAUAUACUAAUAGAAUGUAAGUAAAUAAUUUAAAAUAAAAAGAUUUUAAAAUGAAGAAGUAAAAAGGUUCAAAUCCAUUAGAAAUUUAACAUAAUUAUUAUUUAUAUAUAAUUAAUCUUAUUUCAAAUUCUUUAUGACUAAUUUUGUAAACUUAUUUUUUGAAGAAUUUUAAGUGACUAAAUUUGGAAAGUAAUUUUUUAGAACUUGUGAAGCAUGAUUCAUAUUAUGAUUCCUUUAAACUAAAAAGUUCUUGUUAUUGUGAAUAAUUAGUCAUGUAUGUUUAUCAAUUAUUUUCAACAAAUCAAUCAAAAAUUUAAAUAUAAAUAUCAAACAUACCUCCCAAAAGUAAUUAUUGAGUAUUUCUUGGGAUAGGGGCAAAUAUUUAUGCGCUCUGAAAAUUUCAAUACUAUGAUGAAGUCCAAAGCUAGUGGUAUGUAUCCUGAAAAAAAAGAGAAGAUAAUAUAUACAUUACAAACCGACCAAAUCAUUACACGUAAUUAUUUUCAAAUUUUUAAAAUAAACUUGCCUUUUAUAGAAAGAUGGUGCAUAAAGGUGGAAAAUAAGUCUGCCUCCAUCUAUCAUACAUAUGGAUGAUAACAUUAAUAAAAUAAUGGCAUUCAUUUGUAAUACCUACAUAUGGAUGAUAAAAUUUGUAACGUUUUAGAUAUUCACUGUGAAAGAUGAAUAUGCCUCACAAUCAAAGAAAAAAGGGGAAAAAAAAAUAACUGAUGUGCGGUUAAGAAAAAAAAAUAACUGUUGUGUGGUUUAGGAAAAAAAUAACUGUUGUACGGUUAAGAAAAAAAAGUAACUGUUGUGCAGUUUAGAAAAAAAAAUAACCGUCGUACGGUUAAGGAAAAAAAAACUGCUGUGCAGUUAUUUUUUGGUAUAUGUAGUUAUGCUCUCUUAUCAUAUAUAUAUAUCUAAUAUAUAUAUAUAUAUAUAUAUAUAUAUAUAUAUAUAUAUAUAUAUAUAUAUAUAUAUAUAUAUAUAUAUAUUUUAUCAUUAUGAACCAUAAGAUGCCACGUGACGCACUUACAUGAAAAGUUCUAAUGUGCCACGUGCGCACUUAUCAUAAUAUAUAUUUUUUAACUUAUCAUAAUAUAUUUUUUAGUUCCAAUAUAUUUAUAUAUAUAUAUAUAUAUAUAUAAUAUAUAUAUAUAUUAUAUAUAUAUAAUUAUCAUUAUAUAUAUUUUAUAUAUUAUCAUUAUCAUUAAGUAAUUAUAAUAAUGCAUUUACUAUCAUACAUAAGGUGAAAAAUAGUCUGCCUUCAUCUAUCAUACAUAUGGAUGAUAACUUAAUAAAAUAAUGCAUUCACUUGUAAUACAUACAUCAUGAAUGAUAAAAUUUGUAACGUUUUAGAUAUUAACUGUGAAGAUGAAUAUGCUCACAAUUCAAAGAAAAAGGGAAAAAAAAAUAACUGUUGUGGGUAAGAAAAAAAAAAAACUGUGCGUGGUUUAGGAAAAAAUAACUUUGUGCGGCUUAAGAAAAAAAAUAACCGUUGUGCGCAUUUAGAAAAAAAAUAUAACUGUCGUGACGGUUAAGGAAAAAAAACUACUGUGCAGUUAUUUUUUGGGUACGUGUAGUUAUGCUCUCUUAUAAUUACUUAAUGAUAAUGAUAAUAUAUAAAAUAUAUACAAUGAUAUAUAAUAUAUAUAUACUAUAUAUAUAUAUAUAUAUAUAGAGUGAGGCUACUAUGCUAUCGGAAGCCACGGAGCCUUCGUGCUUCCAGCUUGUUUUCGAUGUUGCGACUUUCGAAUCGUCGAUCGGCUCCUUAAACUUAUCUUAGAUAUUUGAAGAACUAGAAAAUUAAUUAUUAUUUUUCGAUAUCAUUUGCCUAGUGAUCGAAUAGGCUCAAAAUCAACAAAUUUCAAUGGCCGUAGUAGUGAGCGUUUGCAAGUUUAACGGUGUAGAAAUACCCAAAUCACGUGAAAUUUUGAUAAAAAUUCUUUAUACUAUAUAAAACAAGAUCAAUAUCUUGAUUUAAAUUUUAUGCAUAUUAUUACAUUUUGUAAGAUUUUUAUUUUCAGCCGUUGAUUUUGAGCCCCUUCGUUCACUAGGCAAAUGAUAUCGUAAAAUCAUAAAAUUUAUUUUCUAGGUACUUCAAAUACUCUAGAUCAAGUUUAACGAAGCCGAUCGACGAUUCGAAAGUCGCAACAUCGAAAACAAGCUGGAAGCACGGAAGGCUCCGUACUUCCGAUAGCAUAGUAGCCUCACUAUAUAUAUAUAUAUAUAUUUGUGAACUAAAAAAUAUAUUAUGAUAAGUUAAAAAAAUAUAUAUUAUGAUAAAUACGCCAUGUGGCAUCUUAUGGUUCAAUUGGAACCAUGCUUCCAAAAUUAUAUAUAUAUAUAUAUGAUGCUACUUUUUUAGUAAGAAACUAAGAAUGCAUAUUUUUGGUAUGAACCCAAAUUACUAUAAAAAUCUAUACGAAAGCUGUUGAAAAUUUUUGGUUGAAAGCAGCAGAGCAUGCAUAUAUUCAGAUAUUUUUGGCACAAAAAUAACAAAAUAUAUAAAAAUAGCCAAAAAAAAAUUAAAAUAACUUGAUAAAAACUAUCAAUGAGUCUACUAGGAAGAUUCAUUUUCUAUUUUUGCUAUUAUUUAGUCGGUGUCUUUUAACAAAGUUAUUAGAUUUUGUCUAAAAUAAUAGAUUUGUUAAUAAAAAAUAUAGAGAUUGGUGAAGAACAAAAAAAUGUAGCGAUAUUUAUGGGCGAAGAAAUUGCACACGGUAGAAAAACAAAAAUAAAUGUAAAAUAUAGUGUAGAGAUUGAUAGAAUAUAAUAAGAGUAUGAGUUGUAUACUUUCGAGGGUAUAGAGGCAGCUGUGAUUUAAAGUUGUUUUUUAUUAUAAGAUAUCUAAUACGACAAUCGGUUCAGUUAGUCAUAAUAUACACAAUUGAAUCAAUCUAAAAAGAAAUUGGAAAAACUUCAAAUAUAUACCACCCUUUUGGUUUCACACUUUCUCACUUUAGUACCUUGUGGUUUAAAAUGUAUUAAUUUAGUACCCUGUGGUUUCAUUUUUAUAAUUUUAUUAUCGAUUUCACUAAUUUUUUCGUUAAAUCAGUGACAAAGUUAAAACUAAAAGGUACUAAAGUGAGUAUUUAAUAAAACUUAAAUGGGGCAUCUGAAGUUUUCUGUACAUACUUUAACGAAAUAUUAACGAAAAAGCUGACGAAAAGAUAUAAAUGAAACCACAGGACACUAACUAGCUUGAUACACUUUAAACCGCAUGAUACUAAAGUGAGAAAGUGCGAAACCACGGGGGUAGUAUUUGAAGUUUAUCCAAAAAAAUUUAUAAACUUUCAACAUCAUUUCCAAAGUGAUCAGUAGGUCUCAAAGAUGAUUUUAAUGGCUGGUGUGGCACAUUUAUGCGUGCGUGUAGAACAAUCCAGAUUAGAUAAUAUUUUAAUAAAAAAUUCUAUUUUUCAUUAAAAGCAAGAUCAAUAGUUCCAAUUCAAACUUAAUAAGUCUUCUAUUAUUAUUUUUUGUGAGAUUUUUAUUUUCUACCGUUCGUUUCUAGACUGCUUAUUUGUAAGACAAAUAAAGUCAAAAACUGAUAAAAUUUGUUUUCCGAUAGUUAUAAUAUGUAAAUGAUUUUUAACAGAAUUAAUCGCUAAAUCAAAUAUCUCAUUAUAAAAAACAACUUGAAAUAAUGGGAGGCCUUUGUACUUUCAAAAAUAUAUACUAGCCUAGUUCAAUAUAAUAAUACUCUUUGAAAAAAAUUAUUAUAAUAUAAUAAAUAAAAAUAAUACUAAAAUAUAAUACAGUAGAGUGUAAUUAAGCCUGACCUUUAUUACAUGCAAAAGAAUCUGCUUUAUUAAGUGGUGAUCUUUGUCACUUCUUUUCUGCAUGCUCAUAAAGCAAUCCCACUACUAUUUUUUAUUCUUUUUUCUCUGUUUUUUGUUUGGAUAUGAAGGUUUCCAACUGAUUGAUCAAUUGCUUGACUAGUGCUAUGGAAUGAAAUAAGAUAAAAUGAAAAAAAAAAAUAUUGAGAAAAAUUAUUUAGAAUCUCUCAUUGUGCUUUUCCCUACUUCUAGUUUUUUAAAGUGUUUAGCUUUUGUUCUUAACUUAUAAAGAAAGUAAUUAAUUGGAAAAACUUCAAAUACCCCUCGUGGUUUCGCACUUUCUCACUUUAAUAUCUUAUAGUUUAAAGUGUAUCAAGUUAGUACCCUACAGUUUUCCACUUUCUCACUUUAGUAUCUUGUGGUUUAAAAUGUAUUAAGUUAAUUAGUACCCUGUGGUUUCGCACUUUCUCACUUUAGUACCAUGUGGUUUAAUAUUUCAUUAAAUUAUAUACAAAAAAAACUUCAGAUAUCCUACCUAGGUUUAUCGAAUAUUCAUUAUAGUACUCUUUAGUUUUAACUUUGUCACUGAUUUAACGAAAAAAAUACUCCGAAAUGAAUAUUAAAAAGAGAAAUAUAAAAUCACAGAGUACUAACUCGAUACAAAAAUAAAAUCACAGAGUACUAACUUGAUACAUUUUACACCAUAUGGUACUAAAAUGAAAAAGUGCGAAACCACAGGGUACCAACUUAAUACAUUUUAAACCACAGGGUACGUACUAAAGUGAUAAAUUGCGAAAUCACCCGGGGNNNNNNNNNNNNNNNNNNNNNGGGGCGGGCGCGGUUUGUAUUUGAAGUUUUCCCUAAUUAAUUUUCAGGACAGGUUCGGAUCCGGAUACUUUAGUUGCUAAUAUACUAAUCUGAUCCAUGUGAGCAUAGUAGGAUAGUGACUAUGAGACUAUCAGUAUAUUACCCUCUUAAGAUCGGGUAUGGGUCGGGUAUGGGUCAGGCUUAGGUCAGGGACGAGUAUUCGUAUGCAUAUCCAUAGUAUAAAACAUAAAUAGUUGUUACACGAUAAGUUCAAAACAAAAGUACAAAAUCUAUAAUAAUUAUAUUUAUAUUAAUUACUCUAAAACAAGUAUAACCACCACCCAAAACACAUUCAAUAACAUAAGAGUUAAAACUUAUAUUGAUAACUCCAAACACACAUAAUAUAAUUAUAUAAAGCACAUACAACUAACCAUAUAGCAUACAUCAUAAGUCCAAAACGCAUGCACCUACUAUAAUAUAAUUAAAAUACAUACAUAAUAAAUUUGAAAUAUUAUGAUAAUUAAAAAUAACAAUAUCAUUUUUCAAUUUUCAUAAAUUUUCUUAUUUUUUACUCCUUGCUUUAACUUUUGACAUUGGAUAUUUUACUGAGUUAAUUAGAUUCGUGCCCACGACCGAAUUUGAAAAUUAUUCAGAACUCUACCCACCAAAAAAUCAGGUCCGGAUAGGGCUUGAGUCGGAUUUGGAUACAAAAAUCUGGACCCAUAUCUGAAAUAUUAAUGGGUCAUCCUUAAUUUCUACUCAUAUACUACCUAUUUUUAAUCGGAUCUAGGUCGGGUGGGAUAUAGGAAAUCGAUUAUUUUGAACAUCUCUAUAUUGUUGAGAGAAAAGAAGAAGUUUUAAUGAUAUUCAUAAGAAAAAAAAAAUAGUACAACAUAGAAAAACAAAAAUAAAUAUAAAAAUAUAAUAUAAAAAUCGAUAAAAUAUAAUAAUAUUUUUUUAAAAAAAUUAUUACAACAUAACAAAUGAAAAUAGUCUUACUCGUGUUACAUGAAAAAAAUAGUGCAAAAUAGAAAAACAAAAAUAAAUAUAAAAUUAUAAUAUAGAAAUUAAUAAAAUAUAAUAAUAUUUUUUUUCAUUUGAAAAAAAAUAUUACAACAUAACAAGUGAAAAUAACAUCAAAAUAUAGUAUCAUACAAUGUAAUUAAGUCUUACUCGUGUUACACGUACGCAAAAUUAAGAAUCUCCUUUUUUAAUUAAGUGGUGAUCUUUGUCGCUUCUUCUUUUGGAACCGUCUAAAUCAAUCCCACUACUUUCCUUUUUUUUUAAUUCUUUUUUCUCUGUUUUUUGUUUGGAUAUUAAGGUUUUUUCAUUCUUUUUUCUCUGUUUUUUGUUUGUAUGAUUGAAAAAAUAUUUCAGAAAAUAAAUUUUGAGCUGAAAAAAUAAUUUUCGUCUUGUUUAGUUUCUAAAAAAGUAAUAAUAAUUUUCAAAAAAAUUUCAAAAUUUAUCUGAAAAUUGUAUUCUCGUUUUUCAAAUUAUUUAUUUGUUAUUAUAGUUUCUCACCUUUCUUUUCUUGUGGAAUCAAAAUAAAGCGGCCAUAAUCUACUGCAUGCUUUGCCGUGCAGAAGUCUCAAGAUUCUGUUAGAUCAGGUUCCUCCAUGUUGGCUGACAGCUUUCGAGAACUUAUUCCUCGUCUCAAUCUUUCUUCGUUGCGAAGCUGAACGUCUCUUGCCUCAUUCUCCAAUUUCUGCACUAGCUCCAGGAGUUUGAUCAAUUGCCUGAGUGGUGGUGAAGCCGAUCAUGGCUCUAACUUUCAUAGCCGGAGCGGUGGCGACGGCGAUCAUCCAGAAGCUCGUUGAUACAUGCUUUUCCUACAUCAAAGCUUACCCGGGGCUGCGAGGCAUGCGGGACGAGUUGGAAAGGCUGCAACUGGCCCUUCCGCAGAUCCAGACAGUCUUGACUGCCGUAGAGGAGGCUGCGUCGAUUGCAGAGCAGAACACGGCGCUGGAUACGUGGCUGUCGCAGCUCAGAGAUGCUGUGGAGAACGCGGAGGACGUGCUCGACGAGCUGGACUACUACGAGCUGAAGAAGACUAUAAAAGAUCGAGAUGACGAGGUGCGUGGCAUUCUCUCUAAAUGUAAGAAAAAGUUUGACCGUGUUGUUAAUCGUAAAUUUAGCUAUGACACACCGAAGCGGUUGAGGGAGGCCGUCAAGGGGUUAGAUAUGGUUGUUGCCGGUAUGGGACCACUAGUUCAACUUGUUGCUGGGUUAUAUGGUCCUAGUGUUAAGCAUCAGAAGCUCGAGGAAAACAAGAAUGCUCGCGAGACUAGCUUCUUGCUAACCGAAAGUGAGGUGCUCGGACGAGACGAGGAGAGGGACCAAAUAGUUGAAUGGCUGAUCAAACCAGGAGAUGCCGAUGUCAAUGUCUCCACUUUUACAAUUGUUGGUAUGGGCGGGCUCGGGAAGACCACUCUUGCUCAACUAAUCUGUCAUGAUGAAAGAGUGCGAGAGUACUUCAAACCGAUUAUGUGGGUUUGUGUUUCUCAGGAUUUCGAUGUAACUGCGAUAACAAGAAAGAUUUUACAAUGUGUAGAUAGUGAAAAGAAUUUUGGCGACAAGAGUCUACAAGCACUCCAUGUGGAUCUUACACAAGAACUAAAGUCGAAGAGGUUUUUCCUCAUACUGGAUGAUGUUUGGACCGAUGAUAACAUGACGGAGUGGGAGACAUUAGUUGCUCCUUUGAAAUUUGGACAGAGAGGAAGCAAGAUCCUGUUGACAACUCGAAUGGGUUCAAUUGCGGAUAUGGCGGCAAAAGUGACGAAAUGCAAACGGGAAUCAUUAAAUCUAAAUGAGUUGAAGGAGAGUGACUGUAUAUCGCUUUUCAAUAAGCAUGCAUUCCUCGAUGUGAACCUUGGUGAUUAUAGAAACCUGCAGCUGAUCGGUGAGCAGAUAGUGAAGAAACUUGGAGGAAGCCCAUUGGCAAUAAAGAUCAUGGGAGGAAUACUAAACUACUCCAUGAACUAUGAAUAUUGGAAGAACAUCUUGGAAGAAGACAUCAUGAAAUUACAACAAGGAAAGAACGGCAUCAAGACAGUUUUAAGAUUAAGCUACGAUCACUUACCCACAAACUUACAACUCUGCUUUAGAUAUUGCAGUUUAUUUCCACAGGAUUAUACGUUUAAGAGGAAAAAGUUGGUCAAUAUGUGGAUUGGUUCAGGUCUGAUUCCGCAAUCUAUUUGUGGCAAGCAAAGGCCAGAGGAUAUCGGAAAUGAGUAUUUAAAUCUUCUGACAAGAAAAUCAUUCUUUACUUGCAAAACUAGAGAAAAUAUGUUGGGAAGUACUAAAAAAAUUACUAAAGAGUAUUUUAUGCACGAUCUGCUGCAUGACCUAGCACAAUCUGUUUCUCUAGGGGAAUGCAAGAGAAUAGGAGGUGAUGUUGCAGGAAUUACUAUUCCACGGACAGUUCGACAUUUAUCUGUUGAGAUGAUAAAUCUUCUUUCCAUCAGAGAGAUCUCCAAUCUUAAAAAAGUGCGCACUCUUGUCAUUUCUGCUAAAGAGGAUAAUGAGCAUAAUGCAGAUCAUGCACUUGAAUUUCUCGAGGUUAUAAAAGGGUUUAAAAAGUUGCGCUUAUUGAUCUUAGAUGUGAAUUUUGACCCUUAUAAACUGCCCGAUGCACUUAGUAGCUUGAUACACCUCCGCUACCUAUCUCUUUCACUAGGGAAAGUUGUGAAUGAAAGUAUUGAAUAUGAUGACUUGACCAACUUGGUCAAGUUGCGUUCAUUAGAUGUUCCCUAUUAUGUGAUAGAAAAUAUUCCUUAUAUUAGCAAACUACCUUUCAUCCACAAAUUACAACAUUUUAUUGUUCGAGAGGAGAGUGGUUAUAAAAUUGGUGAACUAAAGAACCUCAGGGACCUUCGUCAUCUGUGCAUUGGAGGACUUGAAAAUGUGAGGAGUUCUGAAGAAGCCAUUGAGGCCAAUUUAAACGAGAAAAAAUAUCUCAAAUCAUUGUCAUUGCAAUGGUCCGCAGACCACUUCAAUAGUGCAGAGGCAGAUGAGCAGCUCCUCGAUAACCUCUGCCCUCAUAUCAAUCUCAAGAAAAUGAUCAUCCAACAAUACCAAGGUGCUAAAUCUCCAAGUUGGAUGACAAAUCUGUCUCUUAUCAAUUUGACAUUCAUCGCACUAAUGAAUUGUAAAGGAUGGGAGCACCUUCCACCUCUUGGGCAGUUUACUUCGCUCCAACAUCUUCUCUUGCAGGGACUAGAUACAAUAAAGCAAAUAGAUUGUUCAUUCAUCAGAAGCAACAGUGCAUGUGCCUUUCCAUCAUUGAAGAUGUUACAUUUAUGGGACAUGCCUAACUUAGAGGAGUGGAUUGGAGCAGAUGAUGGGUGCAUGUUUUCUCAACUUCAUUCUAUGGUGAUCGCUAACUGCCCUAAUUUGAGGAAAAUUCCUACUCUACCUUAUAGUCUAAGACAAUUGACAAUUUCAGAUGUCGGAUUGACUGCUCUUCCAACAAUAAAUCAGGAUUACGCUGACAACAAUGUAAGUGCUUUAUUUUAUAAACUUCAAAUUUCUCCUGAGCUUUAGCUCAUUUUUAUUUACCCCACUGUAGUUCAACAUGUAUCACUUUGCCCCUUCUCCCCCGUGGUUUAGCCUAUUUUUACUUUUUUCUAUCUCGUGGUUUAAAAAGUUACACUUUGCCUCCUUUGGUUUAGCUCAUUUUUUACUUUGCUUUCCUGUGGUGUUUUUAAAUAUUUUUAAUUUGCCACGCUAUUUUAUAUAGAAUUUUUUUGAUGAAAUAAAAAUUAAGCCACUGGAGGGGCAAAGUAAAAUUUUUUGAACCGCAAGGUGGCAAGGUAAAAAUGAGUUAAAUAACGCGGGGGCAAUUUGAACUUUACUCUUAUAUUAAUUAAAACACCAAUUCGUAUUUGCACGGCUAUGAUUGCCCGGACUUAAACAUCUUUUACAUCUUUUCUUUCUUGCAGCAGCAAGAACAUUCUCAGGGUCUUCAAACCUUAAUCAUCGAACGAUGUGAGAAGCUCAAAUAUGUUCCAACAGAGUUCUUUCAGAAAUUCGACACCCUCAAAGAGCUGCGUAUACAAAAGUGCCCGAAGUUGACAAACCGUGGGAUCUCGGACAUCCAAAUGCCCUCUAUGCUCGAUAAACUCAUUAUUGGGUCAUGUGGCGACCUUGAGGUGCCAUUGCUCCAGUCAUUAUCAAAUUUAACCUCUCUUUCCGGGUUGGAAUUAGUCGAUUGCACAAGCAUAACAUCCCUUCCCCCUGCACAAGUGUGUGGACGGUGGACGGCGCUUUCCCAUUUAAUAAUAAAGAACUGCAAAGAGCUGUCAUCAUUCGGUGGAAUACAAGCUGUACCCCUCCGUUAUUUACAAAUUGAAGGGUGCGACAGGCUAAUUGAAGUUGCCCUGCUGCUGCAGCCUCUGUUCCCAAACGAUGUCUGCCAAAACAAGAAUGCAGUAAUGGACUGCUUUUUGAAGAAUGGUAGUCUAUCAAUUGACCACCUCGCCCUCCUGCUCGUGGAGCCAUUGAGAAGUCUCUCCUCCAUCAACAAUUUGACUAUCUCUGAUGCUUCACAACUCACCAGCUUACCUGAGGAAUGGCUACUGCAAAAUCACGCUGCCCUCGACGCUAUAUACAUAUGGAAUGCAAUCUCCCUUCAGUCCCUACCCCAGAGCGUGACAAAACUGUGCUCCCUCCAGCGUUUAUAUGUACAGAAGGCUAAUCUCAUCCAGUCUCUUCCAGAUCUGCCUACUUCACUGCGUACUCUUUGGAUCACCGGGUGUCACCCUGUGUUGAAGGAGCGAUGCCAAGAGAAUAUAGGCCUUGAUUGGCCCAAGAUUGCCCACAUCCCUGGUGUGACGAUUGAACAGGCAGUUGCAGAGUGACGAUGACGAAAUUGUACGUUUACUUUACCAUCCUUCAUCUCGCCCCUGCUAUAUACUCUCUGCGAUUAAUGCAAUUCAUUUCGGUGUUGUUCGAUCUUAACAAGUUUUAUCUCAUUUGUUACAGGACUACUUAGCCUUUCUUGGACAACGCAAGAGCAGCCAGGUUCGUUUUUUAUUAGCAUCCUCAAUAGAAUUUUUUUUAUAUUUUGUACCCUUAAUUACUUUAUGGUUUGGAUACAUAAUAAGGGAACAUAGCGCUAAUUGCCCCUUAUAAUUAAUACAUGGUGCUCGACGGUCGAAUUGGUCGACUUGUAAGACAAACAAUGUAAUGAAUAUAGUAGCAUGUCAAUUGCAUUGUAAAGUAAAUAGGACUAGUUCUCCGGUGAUGAGUUAGAACUUAAGAGACGACGCGCGACAAAAGCUUUCGAGUAAUUGUAUAAGACUCCUAUGUAUGUAUAUAUUUCUCUCAAUUCUUUCCGGAAUAUAACAAGAGUAAAGUUUUUCCACGCGCUUAUAUUCUAUUUUGGCAGUGCAGGAACAUAUAAAGUAUUUAGGCUUAAUUAGGACUCCCUGUGCCUUACUCUUACUGCAUGCAUUGCAUGUUUUUUUCUUUUUUUCUAUUGCCAAAUUAAUGUAAAAUCUUUACGGAUGAAAUUGUCCUAAAAAUAAUUAAUUUACUGUUUGAUUCCUGCACAAGUAGCAAAUCUCAUAGCCUGGUGAUCGAGCUUGUUUGGUUUCGUCUACUAUCUUAUGAUCGAAGUUGUUGAUCCUAGUUUAAACAUUGCUUUACAAUGUGUUUCAAACCCUUUUUUUUUUUUUUUCUUUUUCUUUCAGCAGCAUAAUUAGGACCCUGAUUAAUUAAGCAUGAGAGCGUAAUUUCAGUGGUAUAAAUUAUAUUCAAAUUUUGUUAAAGUUUAUAUGUCUUUUUAAUGCAGGUUGUAUCAAUUUGGGAGUAAAUUUAAUAGGUGCUCCGUCAAUAAGACUCGGCUGACUCGUUGUAAAAGAAAAAUGAGAGCAAAACUGUAACAGCACGCAUGAACGUUUGCAACCACAUCCUGCAGUUUCAUACUUUUACUAUCUUUGCACUUUCUAAACAAACUUAAGAUUCAUUAAAGACUGAAGUGUUACUUCUAAUGUUCUAUGUUUGGUGGUGUAAGAACGAAUUAAAUACUCCAUCGAUUUCUAUUUUCUAUUUUCUAUUUUCUAUUUUCUUUAUAUUCUAGGUGUUGUAUGAAUUAAAAAGACUCCUAUUAUUAUAGUCUAUCGAUUUCGUCCUUGUUACGAAGGAUGGUUACAGUUUUUUCUGCUUUGUGUACAUUCUCUCCUAUAUUUCUUGAUGCAGUUGGAAUAAGACUAUUACAUGUACGUAGUCUACAUAUAUAAUGUGAUUAGUGUCUUUAAUGUAGCUUAAUUUUACUGAUUAUUUUGUUUCACUGCUUAAUUAAUCUUCCCUAGGAGACCAAUUAGCGAGCGAAAGAAUGUGGGACUAAUUCGAUUUCUUUGUAAGGAAGGAUAAUAUAUUAAAUUACAUAUUUUGAAGAUUGAGAUUUGGAGAUGUAUGUUUAAUUAGCGAAGCGCGCGAAGGUUAAAGAGUAAUAAUCUGUGUGUUCUAUGAUGGCAAGAUAGCAAUUUGUUUCUCUUCACUUUAUCUGCACAACAAGCAAAUCUCUGGAUCUGAUGAAGUUGUUGAGCUUCUUUGAAGUAGACAAAGUAUCCCAGGUCUAAAGUUGUUUAUACUUCAAAUUUUGUUAAACUUUUCUCAAGUUUUUAAUGCGGCCUCUAUCGAAUUUUGGAGUAAAUUUGGUCGGCGCGGCUGACUCAUUGUAAAAGGAAAAAAAGGGCUGCUGCACUUCGGCACGCAUCAACUUACAAAUCACAUCCUACAGCUGCUUUACUUUUAAUUUCUUUACAAUUUUCAAAAAGAAAUUAAAUUUCUUUAUGUGUUGAAGACAAAUUACAGUUUCCAGUCUGUGUAAGUUUGGUUUUUGAUUCAGAUUUUGCGGACAAAUUCAUUUCAGUCUUUCUUUUUCGUGUACACUCCUUUUUAUACAGUUCCUUAUCUUUCAUCAAUAAUUAUUAGAGAGGCUUAUCUUCUUUUUUUUUUCCUUUUUUUUUGGGUGAGUUAUUCUAGUUGGUUGAAAUUUAAUUACCCAAUAGGUUACUAGAUUCUUCUACCCAAAGAAGUUACAAAUUAAGCACUUAAUUAUUCUCAACACAUGUCUUACACCUAAUUUUGUAAAGCUUUAGAACACAAAGAAAAUUAUCUCUUCUAACUUAGUGCAUGAGAAACACAAUAAAGCUUAUAAAUAUGCAGAUAUAAGAAGGUAAUAAAUCAUUCACUUGUCUGCUACUCAAAAGGCACCGAAUGAUUCGCCUUCUUGUGGCAACCAACAAAUCUAUACAUUUUAAACUUUUAUUAAUCAAGGUUAUUUAAAUGUUAAAAAGCAAAGCCCUAAUAAUUAAAUAAACAAUCACACAAGUGAAAGGGUAUAGCUGUUGACUCUCGAGCCCGUUGACUCAGAUGAGUUGGCAACGUGGUGCCGUCUCUGGAUGCAAUCAAGCAAGGGGAAAAAAUAAUCAAUUUUAUUUGAUUUUUUUUUUUUAGGAAAAUGUAGCAUGUUGUUUACAAAAUCACAUCUUUUUUAACAUUCCAAAUAAUCGAUCACCAGGCUAUCAGUUCGGUCAGCCCAGAACGAGUAUGCUGAGCUCUAUAUCUUGACGUCCAAUUAUCCCAAAUGACAAUCACAUCAUCACCCAAACCUAUAGAUUAGAUCCCCUCUAAGACUGUCAUCAUUAGAAAUUUACUAAAUACGCAUUCCCCCCCACUGGUUUGGUCCAAUUUUGCCUUACUACUCUGUGGUUCAAAAAAUAUCAUUUUGCCUCUCUAUGAUUUCGUUCAUUUUUACUUCGCUACCCUAUAGUUUAAAAAAUUAAACUUUACUUUUUUGUGGUUCAGCACGUUUUCUACUUUACCAUAUUGUGGCUUUUUAAAAAUUUUUUACUUUGCUAUCUUACUUCAUAUAGAAUUUUUGGGCACAGUAGAAAUUAAACCACAAGGGGUUAAAAUUGAAAGUUUUUAAACCAUAGGAUGUCACAGUGAAAAUAUAUAUGCUACACGGCAUAGGAAAAAAAUUGAAGUUUACCCUGUUUUUAAAGAUGGAACCUUAAUGGCAUGCAUCACUAUUCUGUAUUAAUUUUUUUUCGGAUCUAAAAUAAACUAACUAAAUACCUUUAGUAUACCGUAUAUGUAUGUAUCUUUACUAUAUAUAGGAGUUUAUGAUUUAGAGUCUUGGGUAAAGACCGUGAACGAUUUAUCAUCAUCUAGACGCGCGCGGUGUAUGAAAAUUUUGAAUUAACUUGUUUUCAAUGAGAUCAAAUUUUAAAAAUUAUAAAAAAAAAAUAAAAGGAGUUGAUUUUCUAAGAUACCUAUCAUUGGUUUUAGACUUGCGUAAGGAUGCAAGAUAUAUAUAUAUAUAUAUAUAUAUAUAUAUAUAUAUAUAUAUAUAUAUAUAUAUAUAUAUAUAUAUACACACACACACACUGUAUACGCGCAAAUACAUUUGUUUUUUCUCAUUAAGCAGCGGAUUAUUAAUUGGACAUUUUUUUUUCUCAUUAAGCAGUGGAAUAUUAAUUGGAGUGCGGAAGAAACUAAACGAUGCUCGGCCGCCGGCAAUUAAUUAAUCUCGAUGCAAGUCUUCCAAACUAUUUUUUUUUUUUCUCUUUUCAGCAACUUGGCAUAAAAUAAAUAAGCAUUCUUAAUUUGCUAUAUACCCAAGUAAUUAAUUGUUUGAGCCUCUCUCUAUCCUCAUUCUCUAUCGAUCAAUUGCCUGAGUAGUGUCGAAAUAGUAGAUCAAGUUAGAACCGUUCGGAGGAUUAAUAUGGCUUUAACUUUCAUAGCCGGAUCGUUGGCGUCGGCGAUCAUCGGGAAGCUCGUUGAUACAUGCUUUUCCUACAUCAAAUCUUACCCUGGGCUGCGAGGCGUGCGGGACGAGCUGAAAAGGCUGGAUCAGGCCCUUCCGCAGAUCCAGACAGUCUUGACUGCCGUAGAGGAGGCGGCGUCGAUUGCAGAGCAGAACGAAGCGCUGGAUACGUGGCUGUGGCAGCUCAGAGAUGCUGUGGAGAACGCGGAGGACGUGCUCGACGAGCUGGACUACUACGAGCUGAAGAAGACUAUAAAAGAUCAAGAUGACGAGGUGCGUGGCAUUCUCUCUAAAUACAAGAAAAAGUUUGACCUUUUUGUUAAUCGUAAAUUUAGCAACGACACACCGAACCGGUUGGGGGAGGCCGUCAAGGAGUUAGAUAGGGUUGUUGCUGGUAUGGAGCCACUAGUUCAACUUGUUACUGGGUUAUAUGGCCCUAGUGUUAAGCGUCAAAAGCUCGAGGAAAUCAAGAAUGCUCGCGAGACUAGCUCCUUGCUAACCGAAAGUGAGGUGCUCGGACGAGACGAGGAGAGGGACCUGAUAGUAGAAUGGCUUAUCAAACCGGGAGAUGCCGAUGUUGAUGUCUCCGCUUUUACAAUUGUUGGCAUGGGUGGGCUCGGGAAGACUACUCUUGCUCAACUAGUCAAUUGCGACGAAAGGGUGCGAGAGUACUUCGACCCGAUUAUGUGGGUCUGCGUUUCUCAGGAUUUCGAUGCAGCUGCGAUAACAAGAAAGAUGUUAGAAGGUGCAAGUAGUGGGAGUUUGGGUGAUAAGUCUCUAAAUGCACUCCAUGAAAUUGUUAAACAGAAACUUACAUCGAAGAGGUUUUUGCUCAUACUGGAUGAUGUUUGGAACG